AACAACAAUCUCAUCACGUAAAGCAACAUUUUAUAGCCGGUCACGGUCAUCUUUAUGGACAAAAGGAGAGACCUCCAAUAAUUUUAUCAAUGUUUUUGAUGUCUUUCUUGAUUGUGAUCGUGAUUCUGUAAGUUUUUAGAAUCCCCUUUUGACAGUGAAAUUGGGUUGCCUUUGAUUUCAUGUGCUUUUUUACUGAAAAAGAUAUCAAAACUACUUAUCAGAUUAUAUAUCUGGGGAAGCCUGAUGGCCCAACAUGCCACACGGGGUCAGAGACAUGUUAUUACACACCAGUUGAUGAACUUCUGAAAAAUCCAGAGGUUAGUCGCAUUCUGUCAUGUGUUUUAAGUUUUUUUUUUCAUCAUCUUAAUAUUACCUUUCUAAAAAUAAGUUUUUAAUCAUCACAUGAAUUCAAUGAUAAUUUGCUUGUCAUUUCUAUUGGAAAAUGGUCUAUAUGAACCUGUCUAAUAUGUUGUAGCUGCGCUAGGUUGAGAAAAACGAGCUGGCUUUGACAACUCUAUACGCAUUAGAAUCUACAAUCAACCAAAGGAAGGCAGAAACGUCCAGCUCUUCAAAUGGAAAACCCUCGUGGACAAAGCGAUUGUUGCUUGAUGACAAGUUGCUUUGCUCCAAAAUUCGGUAUCUUGCUUGACAUACUUGAUCUUAUCAUUGAUUGAUAUUCAGAAAAGUAGUUCCCUACUCACAUACUUAUUUGGAUAUUAAAUUGGGCUUGAUGGGUAUUUUACAAUUUUCUUCUGAAAUUUUUUCUUCACAUCUUGCAGAGAGGAGGCUGACGAGUUAUGCCGAACUCUGGAGCAAAACGAGGAUAAUGGACGGACUGCCUCAGAGAUGGCAGAUGUCUUGUAUCAUGCCAUGGUUUUGCUUUCUCUUAGAGGAGUAAAACUCGAGGAAGUUAUGCAAGUCCUAAGACAAAGGUUUUCAAAGUCAGGCAUUGAAGAAAAAAAUAGCCGGAAAUCCUAAAACAUAUGGUAUAGUAAAAACCUUUUCCUCUAUGACCUGAUUGAAUUCACCUCAAUACAAAUGAAUUUGUCUUUACGAGGAAUGCCAAAAUAGGUUCAUCUGGCUUUAACAUCAUGCGAAACUCUAGUGUAAAGCAAUGAUGCCAAUGUCCCACUUCUGUAACAUGUGACUUUGGUUAGGUAUAGUUAAUUUACAAUCUUAGGUAACUAGCUACCUCUUUCCUUUCUUUGUCAUGCCUUCAAACUCCCUUUCUGCAAAUGUUAUAGCUUGUUAGCUCUCGUAUGUGAUUACUGUUUCCUUUCAACUUCUCUAUCCGAUCUCGUAUGCUAUAGCAGUUAUUGAGCUCAGUUCCAUGACUUCCUUUGAUACAAUGACCGUCCUCCUUCCUUUCCUUCGUAUGGGGUGCCUACGAUGAUCUCUCAUGUUCUUUCUAUAUCGGAGAUUUUGCCUCAACUGUGCCUGGAGUAGGAGAGUGUUUCGUUUGAUCACUGACUUGGUGCAACUUUUGCAUUCACGCCAUCCUUAUUCACGACUAAUAACUUGUUUUUCAACACGUUCGUGCAGGGUAUACAGUUGAAGAAGGCCUCAUUAUUAUCGACGAUUGUUCUUUGCUUUCUACAAAAGAGUUUGAGAGAGAGGGAGCAUGCAAAAGCAUUGAAAGCUCCUCCCUAUGUCAAUAUAGAUUAUAUUGAUGUAAUUUUGCUAAACUAUGGUAACAUAUAUGUAUUUUUGAUUCUCAUCAUUUUUGUAGUUUGAUGUGAGAUGAAUGGUUUUCCUAUUGUUAAAAUUCUCUUUAUUUUUGUAAUGAGGGUUGUUGUAGGCUUGUGAGUCAUCGUAAAACUAGCUAAUUUCAUGAUGAUUCCUCGUAAUAUGAGUUUAUACGGAGUAGCACGAUCAGUGCGGUAUCAUAUAGUCGAUUUCAAUUUGCUUGAGACCCUGCUUAACUAUUGGUGAUCUAUUUUUGAAAAGUAACAAACAUUUAAAUAAUGAAAUUUUGGUGGAAAUAACUUUAAUGGUUCUCCAAUCAACUCCACUGUCAUGAUAUUAUUGGCUAUGAGUCAAAAAAACAGUUUGAUCAUUCCUACUUUAUAAAAUACCUUUCUUGGAAUACAAGUUGUUACUUCCAUCUCCAAUAUUUCUCCUCUUUUUCUUUUAAGAAAAAUAUUUUAAAAUUUAUAGAUUUUGAUAAUCUUUUCCAAAUAUUAAAAUAAUUUAAAUGGAAAAAUAGCUUGUCAACUUUUUUAUUAAAAAAUAAAUUAAUUUUAACAUUUUAAAUCUACAGUCAUGAUUAAAAAUAUUAAUUUAACAUAUACAUCAAGUGCGUGUAAGCUUUUUACCUUCCUACUUUCUCCCAUAACAAUGCAAAUUUACUCCAAAUCCAUUUCUUCACCCUACAUAAUAAAACCAAUAAUAAAUACAAGUAAAAACGUUUUCCUCUCCUAAACAAAAUCCAACCAAAAUAAUUUUAAAAACAAACAAACAAAAACAAUGAACCAAAAUCCCCAAUGACAAUCCAAGGAACCAAACAUCAGAAAAAUAUAUAUAGAUCUAAUCUUUUUUUUAUUUUUAUUUUUAUUUUUAAAAACAAUUGAAUUAUUAUUAGCAAGUAAAUUCAUAAUAUUAAUAUGAUAAAAAAUACAAUUAAAACGAUAGUACAAAAUUAUUAUAAACAAAAACAUACUCUCUCCGUCCCAAAUUGAAAUGACACAUUGAUUAAGAAAAAAUAAUUAAUAAUAUGGCUACUUUAUCAUAAUACAUCUAUUAAAUAAUGUUUACUUAUUACUUUGAAAAAAAAAUAAUUAAUACAAAGGGUAAAACAUGAAAAAAAAAUUAUCUCUUCUUGAUUAAUGAAAAAGGAUAAGUAAAAUGAAAAAUCAAAUUAGAAAAUUUGGGACGAUAAUUUGGGAUGGAGGGAGUAACAAAUAUAAAUGUUACGAUGAUUUCUACUCUCUCCCAUCACAACACAAAUUUACUUUAUUACCAAAAUCUAUAAUUUUUUUAAUAUAUAUAUAAAUAGUAAAAACCUUUUCAUCUCCUAACAAAAAUCCAAUAACAACAAAAAUAUAAUGAACCAAAAUCCCCAUUGACAAAACGAAAUUGAUAUAUAUAUACAUACACACAAGAGAUCUCUCUACUCUUUUUUUUUUUCGUGUGUUUUAAUCAAAUUGCAGUUGAAUUAUUGAGUAGGAAUGUCAGGUGUAUCAUUGAAGUGUGGUGAUUGUGGAACACUUUUUAAAUCUGUGGAAGAAGCACAAGAACAUGCUGAACUUACUUCACAUGCUAAUUUCUCUGAAUCAACUGAAGCUGUUCUUAAUCUUGUUUGUACUUCUUGUGGCAAGCCUUGUCGUUCCAAAACGGUAAAAAAAAAUUGACCCCUUUUGCUUCUUUUAUUGAUUAUGUUUAGCUAUGAAAAGGGUUUUAAUGAUUUGUAAAGAAACUUGUUGGAUUUUAUGUAGUUUGAGAUUGAGGGGUAGUUGUUGUAGGUGUGAAGUACCUCGAGGAGGAUUCAAGAUUUGAACUUUAUGGGUUUGGGGUGUCAUUGAAACCAUUGAUAAUUUGUCCCUUUUGUUGAUUGUGUGUAGUUAUGAAGAGGAUUUUAAUUAUUUGUAUAGAAAAUUGUUGGAUUUUAUGUAGUUUGAGAUUGAAGUGUAGUUUUUGUAGAUGUUUAAGUACCUCGAGGCGGAUUCAAGAUUUGAACUCUAUGGGUUUCAAGAGACUAUUGAGUAAUUGGGUGUAUCAUUGAAGUGUGGUGAUUGUGGAACACUUUUUAAAUCUGUAGAAGAAGCACAAGAACAUGCUGAACUUACGUCACAUGCUAAUUUUUCUGAAUCAACUGAAGCUGUUCUAAAUCUUGUUUGUACUUCUUGUGGCAAGCCUUGUUGUUCCAAAACGGUAAAAAAAAAUUGACCCCUUUUGCUUCUUUUAUUGAUUAUGUUUAGUUAUGUAAAGGGGUUUAAUGAUUUGUUGCUGUUGUUGUUCUAGUUUGAGUUGGAGGAGUAGUUGUUGUAGAUGUGAAGUACCUCGAGGCGGAUUCAAGAUUUGAACUUUAUACGAGUUUUGGGACAUUGGGUUUGAAACUUGAUGUUUGUGAAUAGGUUUGUAAUGAUUUGUAUAAAAAAAAUGUUGGAGUAGUUGUAGGUGUGAAGUACCCUGAGGUGGAUUCAAGAUUUGAACUUUAUAUGAGUUUUAACAAAUUGGGUUUGAAGUUUGAUGUUUGUGAAUGGGUUUUUAAUGAUUUGUAUAGAGAUUGUUGGACUUUUAUCUAGUUUGAGAUUGAAGAGUAACUUUUGUAUUGAACUUUAUAUGAGUUUUUGCAAAGUGGGUUUGAAAUUCGAUGUUUGUGAUGCCCCUUUUAUUGAUUAUAUGUAGCUAUGGAUAGGGUUUUAUUGAUUAGUAUUUCCAAUUUGAGAUGGAGGAGUAGUUGUUGUAGGUGUGAAGUACCUCGAGGCGGAUUCAAGAUUUGAACUUUAUAUGAGUUUUAGGAAAUUGGGUUUGAAAUUUGAUGUCUUGAAGCCCCAUUUAUUGAUUAUAUGUAGCUAUGAAAAGGGGUUUAAUGAUUAUAUAGAAAAUUGUUGGAUUUUAUGUAGUUUGAGAUUGAGGGGUAGUGGUUGUAGGUGUUAAGUACCUCGAGACGGAUUCAAGAUUUGAACUUUGUGGGUUUGGGGUGUCAUUGAAACCAAUGAUAAUUUGCCCCUUUUGCUCCUUUUAUUGAUUAUUUUUAGCUAUGAAAAGGGGUUUAAUGAUUUGUUGUUGUUGGUCUAGUUUGAGUUGGAGGAGUAGUUGUUGUAGAUGUGAAGUACCUCGAGGUGGAUUCAAGAUUUGAACUUUAUAUGAGUUUUAGGAAAUUGGGUUUGAAAUUUGAUGUUUUGAAGCCCCUUCUAUUGAUUAUGUUUAGCUAUGAAAAGGGGUUUAAUGAUUUGUUGUUGUUGUUCUAGUUUGAGUUGGAGGAGUAGUUGUUGUAGAUGUGAAGUACCUUGAGGUGGAUUCAAGAUUUGAACUUUAUAUGAGUUUUAGGAAAUUGGGUUUGAAAUUUGAUGUUUGUGAAGCCCCUUUUAUUGAUUUUAUGUGUCUACGGAUAAGGUUUUAAUGAUUAGUUGUUCCAAUUUGAGAUGGAGUAGUAGUUGUUGUAGGUGUGAAGUACCUCUAGGCGGAUUCAAGAUUUGAACUUUAUGGGUUUGGGGUGUCAUUGAAACCACUGAUAAUUUGUCCCCUUUGUUGAUUAUGUGUAGGUAUGAAUAUCGUUCCAAUGAUUUGUUGUUAGAAUUGUUGGAUUCUAUCUAGUUGUUGUAUGUGUGAUGUGCGCGUUGACGGAUUCAAGAUUUGAACUUUAUGAGUUUUAGGGAACUAUUGGUUAUGUGUUUGAGUGAUUGGGUUUGAUAUAUGAUGUUUUAAUGAUUAUAUGUAGCUAACAAUAGGGUUUUAAUUAUCUAGUUUGAGAUUGAGGAGUAGUUGCUGUAGGUGUGAAGUAUCCCGAGGCGGAUUUAAGAUUUGAACUUUAUAGCUUUUAGGAAGCUAGUGAUCAUGUAUUUGAGUGAUUGGGUUCGUUUUAAUGAUUAAAUGUAGCUAAGAAAAGAGUUUUAGUUAUCUAGUUUGAGAUUGAGGAGUAGUUGUUGUUGGUGUAAAGUACACGGAGACGGAUUCAAGAUUUGAACUUCAUAUGAGUUUUAGGAAAUUGGGUUCAAAAUUUGGUGUUUGUGAAUAGAUUUUUAACAUGGAUUUUGCCCCUUUUAUUGAUUAUCUGUUGCUAAGAAUACCCUUUUAAUGAUUUAGAUAGACAAUUGAUGAAUUCUAUGUAGUUUGAGAUGGAGGAGUAGUUAUUGUAGGUGUGAAGUAUGCGGAGGCAAAUUCAAGAUUUGAACUUUAUGAAUUUGGGGUGUCAUGAAACUGCUGAUAAUUUGCUUUAACGAUUGUUGGUAGCUAAGAAUAGGGUUUUAAUGAUGUGUAAAGUCAAUUGUUGGAUUGUAUGUAGUUUGAGAUUGAGAAGUAGUUGUUGUAGGUUUGAAGUACCCAGCGGCAGGUUCAAGAUUUAAACUUUAUAUGAGUUGAGGAACUACUGAUUAUUUGACUAAUUGGGUUUGAAAUUUGGUGUUUGUGAAUAGAUUUUCAGCACGGGUUUGAACCAAAGCUACUGAAUUGGGAUGAACAGGGUUUUAAUGAUUUGUUUAGACAAUUGCUGGAUCCUAUCUAGUUUUGAGAUUGAGUAGUAGUUUUUGUUGGUGUGAAGUACCCAGAGGUCGAUCUAAAAUUUGAACUUUAUGGUUUUGGAAUGUCACUGAAACCGCUGACGAUUUGAGUUAUAGGACUUUGAUGAUUUAUAUAGCCAAUCGCUGGAUCCUAUCUAGUUUCAUUGAGGAGUAGUUGUUAUAGGUCUGAAGUAACCCGAGACAAGCAAUCUAAGUAGCUUAGUUGGUUGGCUGGUUACCUGAACUUUCAUCUUGUCAGUGAGGGUUUGAUUUCCCUGCUUUGUAAUUUCCUUACCUAUUUCCCCUUCCCCUCCCCCCAAUGAAAAAGAACCUGAGGCGGAUUUAAGAUUUGAACUUUAUGGGUUCUAGGAAACUACUGAUUGUUUGAGUAACUGGGCUUGAAAUUUGAUGCUUGUGAAUAGAUUUUCAGCACGGGUUUGAACUGAAGCUAUUGAAUUGGGCCGAGAUCAUACCUUACUUUGUUAAAUCUGCCUCUAGAAGUACCACUCCUCCACUGUGACAUGGAUGCAUGCUUAAUAUACUUUAUAUACUUCUCAAAUAAUUUAUUUGUAUACAGUUCUAGUCAGAAGCUAUUGACUCGUAGCUGUGGUAAGAUUGGAUCCCCGCAUGGCACCCUAGGCUUUGAUUCAACGAUAAAGGUCGUAGAGGUGGAUUCAGGAAUUGAAUAUUAUGGGUUCAACUUCGGCAUUCUAUCACAGCCCAUUUGAUUUACCUAGUUCAAAAUCUGUUAAUUAUAUGUAAUUAUUUAGCAUAACUUUAACACAUAUGACCAGGAGGUCACGGGUUGCUGCCUUGGAAACAGCCUAACAGCCUCCGGUAGAAAUGCAAGGUAAGGCUGCGUACAAUACACCUUUGUGGUGGGGACCUUCCCCGGACACCGUGCAUAGCGGUAGCUUUAGUGCACCGGGCUGCCCUUUUUAACUUUUAACACAUAUAUAGGGUCUGAGUGAAGGUAACCAGAUUUGGUUGACCCUGUAGUUGACUAAAGAACUACGUCCUCCUCUGGGUAGUACCACAUCGUCGAACCAAGUCUGGUAGUUAAAUGUGAAAGGUAGAGUGGCAGAUUCAUUAUCCAUCAAGUUUUGAAGCUGAAAAUAGUGGAAUUCCCAUUUAUAUAUAUAAAAAGAAAAGAAUAAAAGGUUGGAUCUGCCCAGUUUCUUGGUGUAGUAUAUUAUAUUGCUAUUCAUGUGAAUUUGGGUGGAGAUAGUUUGUCGUAAAUCAAAAUGCUUACACUAAUACAGUAAACUCUUCUGAUCGUUAUGUGAACUUUUAUUUCCGCUGUAAUGAUGAUUAAACUGUUGAUGUAGCUUGACAAUGUAGCUUUUUGUGAAUUUCGGUUGUAUUUGAUAUAUGAAGGAGAGUGAUUUACACACCAAGAGAACUGGGCACACGGAAUUUACUGACAAGACAGCAGAGGCAGUGAAGCCAAUCAGCUUGGAGGUGCCAAAGCCAAAGCCCAACGAUGAUGAAGACAUGGCAGAGGGUGGUGAUGGUGGUACUGGCCAGCAUGAAGGUAGUAAUUCAUUAGUGUUGCAGAUUUUGGCCUUUUAAGUGACAAUAUAGUUGUCAUUUAGUGCUAUGAGCACAGGAAAGAUGUUUCUUUCCCUCUUUAAUUUUUCUUUCUGAAAGCUAUUUGUAGUAGGACUUAGAUAAUGUGCUUCAAAUAGUACGAUGAACAUUUGAGAGAAGUUACAACAUCUAAACAAGUCAGGAUGGAGGGAUGUUUUCAUUUGUUUAACGCUUUUAUUCAUCGAGCAAGCUCUUCCUGUAGAUCUAGAAUUUGCAAAUGUAAGGUGCUUAUCAUCCAACCCUAAUAAGAACUAUGAGACCCAAAAUGGCAGCUAAAUAGGUGGUCAUAUGAGGCAUAAGCAUCUGAGAAGUCCUUUAUUUUUGUUGUUUAUACAUGAAUAUAUUGGUACUAAUAUACCUUUUCUUGCUAGAAAUGGUUGUUCCUGAAGUUGACCAAAACCUGCUCUCGGAACUCGAGACAAUGGGAUUUCCGAAAGCUAGGGCUAUCCGGGCACUCCACUUUUCUGGUGAGUACUUCUGUAGAUGAGAAUUUUCAUUGUUAUCAUUGUCAACAUCUAUUGGAGACUUGAAAACAUCACAUAUCCAAAAAAAAAAAGGAAAUCCAUGUAUGACGAUUGACGCAUUCAGGUGCACUUAUGUAAUGCGUUUUUUUAAGUCGAGACUCUUGAAUACAAAUAGAGAUACAGCUCCGAAGCGGUCCAUUCUCAGCCAAACCCAACUACUGUUUUGUGGUACUGGACUGAGUUGAGAAUCUUAGCCUGUUAGUACCCAAGACCGGGGGGAAAGGGGGAGGGAGGAAUCUGAAUGCCCUCCAGCAGCUAACUUUUUCAGCAUUUCCUCGUUACUUUGAUCAAUCUAAUAGGAUGUCGAUCUCCCAAAUUCGUAUGUUUUCUCUUGACCUCCUUGUUGUCUGUAUGAGGUUCCUCUUUGUUUCAUCUAUAAAAGUCAAGGCAUCUGAUUGUUCAUGCCUGUGAAUUUGGAUGCAGGCAAUGCCAGCUUGGAGGCUGCUGUAAAUUGGGUUGUAGAGCAUGAAAGUGACCCAGACAUUGAUGAAACACCGAUGGUAUGGAAAUUUCAGAUUUCUACGUUUAAUUGCUUAGUUCACUAACUAAUUUAUAUGUUGUGGUUACUGCUUCCUUAUGAGAUUCAUAAAGACGUUCCUUUUUGUGUCAUUAUUUAUGAUCUAUAUUAGAAGAAAGUUGUACUCAUUUAUGUGAAUGCUGUGGUUGAAUGCAUCGUUUAACCUGUUUAGAAGAGAACUUAGUUCUUAGCAUUAUAAGGGUAUGAGACCAGCUAGGACACUACAGAUUGAAGGAUGAUUGGAGACGUCCAAUACAUGCUCAACCAGGUCUAGGAAAAAUUAAAAGAGUAGUUUGCACUUUGCUGAUUGUUAGGUAACUAUGUUUACCAGGGUUUGACAAAUGGGAGGAAAUCACCUAGUGUUUUUGCCUCCGUUGAGAAUUGAACAUGAAACCUCAAGGUUGCGCAACCACUUCAUUGACCAUUAGGCCACACUGUUUGGUGCAAUAAGAUGCACCUUAUUAUGAGAAGGCAAUUCUUUUCUCAGUGGUCCAGUGAAGAAAUGUUGUUGCAUCUUUGCACGAACCUGUAAGCAUUUCUACAGAGGAAUAUAUUAAGUUCGUCAAUGAAGUCAUUUAGAUUUUUUUUUUCAUAUGUAAUGGUGGACCAUAUGUUUUAUCCAGUAACUUCCAACUCACCCUGCUUAGAUAAUGCAAUGAUUAUUGAACUUUGCUAGGUACCUGCCAGUGCCAAGAAAGCUGAGGCUUCAAAGCCUUCUCUUACUCCAGAGGAAAUAAAGAUGAAACAACAAGAGUUGAAGGAGCGUGCUCGUAAAAAGAAAGAAGAGGAAGACAGACAAAGAGAAAGAGAGAGAGAAAAGGUAGUCUUGAUUUAGAUUUUGAGUUAGUAUGCUUUAAUGGAAGUCAGUUGAAUAUUAUUUAUUGAAUUACAUUCUGAAACUGGUGGUGGUUGAUCGGAUGCAUUAUUAGUUAACUACAUUUUAUGUUUUGAUUUGUAAUCAAUUUAGUUGAAUAUGUUAGUAAAAUCGUUCUGCCUUCUGCUUCAGGAAAGAAUUAGAAUUGGUAAGGAACUCCUGGAAGCAAAACGGAUUGAGGAAGAUAAUGAAAGAAAACGGUAAGCCUUGAGCUCUGCUACUCUUUUCUGUUUUCACUCUCAGCGAUAUUUUCCGCUUUUCUGUAUAGUAUAAUAGCAUUGCGCAAGGCCGAAAAAGCGGAAGAACAACGAGCUAGGGAGAAGAUUCGUCAGAAGCUGGAAGAAGAUAAGGUCAGAAACUCCAGUCUAUCAUGAAAUUUCUUCAUCCCUUCUAUAUCUAGCUUGCUUGAUGGAACUUGUCAAUUUACUAAUGUCUAAAAUGUGUCUUUGUAAAUAUAUUUGUUUUCACUUAAAAACAGUAUUUGUUACCAGCCAUCUUGUCACCUGCUCUUUGCUGGGCAGCCUAGAGCGUUUAGAAGUUAGACUGAUUAGAGUCAUAUGGUUUGACUAAACUCCUAGUGGUGGUGAUUCUAGGGGAUGGGCUUGUCUGUUCUCCUCCUGUUGAUAUUUCUAUGAACAUUCUUCACUGUAGAGAGCUUUUUCUGCCACCAACCAAGUAUCCCAUUUAUUCGACUAGCAUGCAUUCAGGAAGGUGAACGUGUAACUUAUGUUGAUAAUUUGCACCUUAGACGAUGCCCGCGUUUGAUUCUCCAGGGGACAAUUUAUUUGCCUGUUUAACAAUAAAAAACAAAAAAGCUUGUGUUAAUAAUUUGAUGUCAGUUUCUUAUUGUGUACUCUGUAAGAGACGUGCAUCAUGUUGCCUCUUAAUAAUACUACUGCAACCUGUGAUUAUGGUUUGACCAGGUUAAGUGCUAUUGAAAUAUAAUCUGAAAUCAUAAGGUCCUGGCAUUUCUACAGACAAGAUACACGUCUAACCAAAUCUACAACCUUUACUGACUUGGUGGUUUUGAAUUAUCAUCUAUUAGGCAAGAAGUUAUCUCUUUUCUGAAAGCAUUAUCAAUUCCUUUUUACCUCUAAAUGGUGUGGGUUUGGGCUAUUGAGGUUUUCCUGAUGUGACUUUUACAUAGGAAAAUAGAUUAUCUCUGUGGAGGUUGCUGCAUCGUAGUAUCGAGUCUGUUGCCUUACAAUAAGAAAAUGAAUUAUUUCUUGUUAUCUCUUUUGCUGCAUUGUUGUGAGGAUUGCACUUUAAAGAUCAUUUUAAUUAGUGAUAUUUAAGAGAAGUCAACCGCUAAAAGUAACAAACUCUGUCACUUCUGUCAUGUUGAAACAAUUGUGUGUACUUUCACAGGCAGAAAGAAGAAGGAAGCUCGGUUUGCCACCAGAAGAUCCCGCUUCCCCCAAACCGUCUACUGCACCUGUUGUGGAGGAAAAAAAGGUGUGUAUUUAUUCAAAAACUGUGUUUAUAGUUUUGUCCCAUAUAAACAUAUAUCCUCCGACUCAAACUUUUUGUAUGUAUUUUUGUUAGAGCUCGUUUUUGCCUGUCAGACCAGCUACAAAGGCAGAGCGGAUGAGAGAGUGCCUGCGAACUCUUAAGCAGGCCCACAAGGUAAUCAUUCAGUUGUUUUUCGGAUACCUAGAGUACUUUCUUGCAGGUUUGAGCUUUGGAAGUGAGAGGUGGUUCAAGGUGCACCAGCUUAUCUUUAUUUUUAAUAACAAAGUGAAGCUUACUUGCUCGUCCACCCUCGGUUUCCAAACUCAAAAGAGUUCAUCGAUACAAAAUAUAAUGAAUUUUAAAUACAAGGAUAGAAUGGAUUAGUGUAUUGCAUUAGGAAGCUUUUUCUUUUGAAAAGUAAUCAAUAAAUACUCCCAAGGAACUGAGUAACCUAUGAAUGACAUUCUACAUUCCUUCGGUGGCUUUUUGAUAUGAACGAGAUGUCAUUCUAACUUCAUUUUCCUCUUGCGAUCCAGGAUGAUGAUGCCAAAGUCAAGACUGCUUUCAACACGCUGCUAACUUAUGCAAAGAAUGUCGCUACAAAUCCCAAUGAGGAGAAAUUUCGCAAGAUUAGACUUAGUAAUGCUGCUUUUCAGGUGAGAUGUCAUCAAGAAAUAGCUGUGCCUCUAUUUUGUUCUUUAGUUACACUUCUGAAACGACUCCUUCACUCUUCGAAAUUCUAUAAGAGAAACCUCAUUUAAUCCUUGCUUUUAUAACCUUGUUAGUUGGUUACCGUCAUUCAAUUUCUGAAAAAUAGGGAGUGGGGUGAGGUUUAUGUACUUGAUUAUUUGCUUAGUCGAUUACUUUGGCAUGCCAAACUGCUGGAUAAUUUAGGACCCUCUCCCAUAUUUCUUUCAUUGUUUAGUUUCUGGUUUGCGGUGGGUGGUAAGGUCGUAUACCUUUUGCCACCCCACCUAGUUCUUGGUCCCCGGCUGAAGAAGGUGGUCUAGCGCUCGUAAAGCUGUUGACCGUUGCAGCAAUAGCCAAUAUUCAAAUUUUUUUAGUCAGAUACUAAACUUGUGAACUAAACACGCCUGUAAACUUGUGACGUUGGGUGUGUUAGAUUGUCUCAGCCAAGUUGAUUCAUAUUAAGCUUAUGAUUCUUGUAACAAAAUAUUCAGAAUUCCUGAUCAGCUUGACCAAGUAGAUUCAUAGACUCAGAGAACUAACACGCCCGCCUCUUUUGACAAUUAUUUUACAGGAUAGAAUUGGCAAACUGCAAGGAGGCAUCGAGUUUCUUGAGCACUGUGGAUUCGAGAAAAUUGAAGGGGGUGAAUUCUUGUACCUGCCAAGAGAAAAAGUGGACAUGGCAGUACUUAAUACUGCUGGAACUGAGUUGAACAAUGCCAUUAAAAAUCCCUUCUUUGGAGUCCUCUAAAUCUUAUACAUUGCUUCAGACAACUUGAUUGAAGGUUACUUGAGUUAAUAUAAACUGAAACUGUAAAAGCUAUUAAGGUUUUGAUGGACUCAUGUUCCUUUUGAACCAUUUUUUAUUACUAGUUGAAGGGAUUAAGUUGAUGUUGAAACUUAUCUUUUUCACUUUCCCACUCCGGGUUUACCGGAAACAGCCUCUCUACUUCACUAAGGUAGGGGUAAGGUCGCGUGUAUUCUACUCUUUGCAGACGCCACCCGUGGUAUCCCUGUGUAUGUUGUUUCCCACGGAUUAGAACCCGGCGCGUGCAUUCUACUCUUUCCGGAUGCCACCCAUGGUAUCCUGUGUAUGUUGUUUCCCACACGGAUUAGAACCCGGCUAAUAUGGAGUUGCGCCGUGUAAGGCUUUGUAAAGGGGGAAACGCUCUACUGGAAACAACCUCUCUACUUCACAAAGGUAGGGGUAAGGUCGCGUGCAUUCUACUCUUUGCAGACGCCACCUGUGGUAUCUUGUUUAUGUUGUUUCCCACAUGGAUUAGAACCCAGCUAAUGUGGAGUUUCGUCGUGUAAGGCUUUUUAAAGGGGGAAACGCACUACUGGAGACAACCUCUCAACUUCACAAAGGUAGGGGUAAGGCCGAAUGCAUUCUACUCUUUCCAGACGCCACCUGUGGUAUAUCCCGUGUAUGUUGUUCCCGGCUAAUAUGGAGUUGCCCCGUGUAAAGCUUUUGAAAUGCUCUACCAGAAACAACCUCUCUACUUUCACAAAGGUACGGGUAAAGUCGCGUGCAUUCUACUCUUUCCGGAUGCCACCCAUGGUAUCUCGUGUAUGUUGUUUCCCACACGGAUUAGAACCCGGCUAAUAUGGAGUUGCGCCGUGUAAGGCCCUUUAAAGGGGAAAACGCUAAAUGCAAUAGCUAAGUAGUGAUGGGCAAUAUUGGUCGAUUAUAAAUUUUGUGUUUGUAAUGAGAUAAAUGGUCAAAACACAUCUAAACUAUUAUUUUUUCGUCGGUUCUAUCCUUUUAACUAUCACAUGUUUCCUUUACAUAUUUGACCUAUCACCAUCAAAGGCGAGUCAGGAUUUCAAUUAGGGGAUCUAAAGUUUGAAGAAAAACUAACCGACGGGGUUCAACAUCUAAUAUAUAUACAUCGAAAGUAAUUUUAGUCAUGCAUAAAUAGUAUAAAUUUCAGUUGAAGGGUGGUUCGGAGCCAGUGGCGGAGCCAAGAUUUUCGCUAAGGGUUUCAUAAGUGAAUAUAAAAAAUAAUCAAAGGGGGUUCAACAUCUAAUAUGUAUACAUAAAAAAUAAUUUUAACUAUGUAUAUAUAACAUAAUUUUUUGUCGAAGGAGGUUCGGAUGAACCCCCUAACCAUAGUGUAGGUCCGCCACUGUUCGGAGCUGCUUGUCAAAGGCUAGCUCUGCCCUUGAUCACCAUCUACUCAACUAUUCUAGUUGAACUAUCAUCAUCUAAGUAUCGAAAAACACUUCGUUGAGAUGAUGACAACAAUUCAAAUAGGGCAAAUGAACGACUAACAAUUGGUCUAAUCAGCUUUGAGGUGUGUUUUAACAUACGAGUAGUGUUAGUACCGUAACUUAUAUUAUAUUAUGAUAAGUAAAUAUAAACUUUGCCUAAUAACUUUAAAUUUUGAUUUUCAAUUUCGAAAAAUUUUCAACCACUUUUUUAUUAUUUAAACUGAUUUCAAGGGGGGACAUUAAUGUAAAUGACCUAUUAUAUAUACCUUCGAUCGAGGAGGGAAAUUAAGAUCGAUAGAUGGUCACUCCGAAGAGCCCGAUUAGAUGAAACCUUCAAACAAAAACACAAUGUUAUUUCGAAUCCAACUCUCAAUUAGAAGGUUACAUCGUGUUCAAUCAAAUAAUAAACAAAUUUUCGAUCAUUUAACCUUCGCAAUGUAAAUACAACCCUGUUCUAUACCCUAUGAUUCUUAUAAAUCUUUUACUCUCCCAUCUCAAUUUAUGUGACAUACUUUUCUUUUUCGUCCGUUCCCAAAAGAACGUCAUGUUUCCUUAUUCAGCAGUUAUUCAAUGACAUCAUCCCUAUUUUAUCCUUUACUGAAUUCCACUUAAUAAGAAAAGACAACUAAAAAGUCGUAAACUUCACAAAUCCAUCGUCUAUUUCUUAACUCCGUGUCCAAUCAAAAGACGACACAUAAAAUGUAAUAACAAAAAACAAUACAAUCUAAUCAAACGUUGUAUUCAUCGAAACAAUACAGAGUUGUCUAACAAACCGACCUUAGCUCAGUUGGUAGAGCGGAGGACUGUAGUUGUUGCUGAAAUCCUUAGGUCGCUGGUUCGAAUCCGGCAGGUCGGAGUACUUUUUUCAAUUUUGUUAUCCUUCACCUCAGCGCAUUUUAGCAUUCCUUAGCUUAACGUGUACCGGAAAAAAAUUAACUAUAAGACUUACCAAAAUUCAGCUACUGUAUUCAAUUCCAAGCGAAAAUUUGCUUAAUGGUAAGUAUUUAUCAAUUUAAUUUUGAGUAAAAAGAGUUCUUUUUUUCUUGUGUUUAAUUUAAAGGGAUUUGAUUGUAAUUGUAUAUAGAGUUGAGCUGUGUUUGAAUUUAUUCAUGUUGUUUAUGAGCUUAAUGGAUCAAGAUCCAAGAUUUUGAAUUUAGUAGUUUUAGAAUGUAUUUAGUGCAUUCUUGAUUUGAGGGUCUAUCGGAAAUAACUUCUUUAUCUUUACGAGGUAGGGGUAAGGUAGCAUUAUGUGGGUUUGGUUGUUUAAAAUUGUAAUCUUUUUAAAUAUAUGUGUGUGUGUGUGUGUUGGGAGGGGGGGGUGGAGGUGGAGGUGGGGAUUUAAAUUUUGUAGUUUUAGACUGUAUUAGUGCAUUCUUGAUUUGAGGGUCUAUUGAAAACAAUCUUUUUAUCUGAACGAGGUAGGGGUAAGGUAGCAUUAUGUGGGUUUAGUUGUUUAAAAAUGUAAUCUUUUUUAUGUGUGUGUAAGGUCUGUGUACACUUUACAUUCCCUAGACCCCACUUUGUCGGACUACACUAGACAGUUUUUUCUAAUGUGUGUGUGUGUGUUGGGAGGUAGGGGGGGUUACAUACGGCAAAAUGCUGAACAGUUGUUGUUUUGAUAAGAUCAGAUUUUAAAUUUGGUUGUUUUAGAAUGUAUUAGUUCUUUCUUGAUUUGAGGGUCUGUCGGAAACCUCCUCUUUAUCCGUACGAGGUAGGAGUAAGGCAUUAUGUGGGUUUAGUUGUUUAAAAAUGUGAUCUUUUUUAUGUGUGUGUAAGGUCUAUGUACACUUUACACUCCCUAGACCCCACUUUGUCAGACUACACUAGAUAUGCUGUUUUUUUAAAUGUGUGUGUGUUGGGAGGUGGGUGGGGUGGGGGUGGGGGGGUUACAUACUGCAAAAUGCUGAGCAGUUGCUGUUUUGAUAAGAUCAGAUAUAUUAGUGCAUUCUUGAGCUGAGAGUCUAUCAGAGAUAACCUCUGUACCUCAUAGAGGUAAGGUCUGCGUACACAUUAGCCUCCUUAGACCCCGCUUUGUGGGAUUACACUAGGUAUGUUGUAGAAUACAUUAGUGCAUUCUUGAGCUGAGGGUCUAUCGGAAACAACCUCUUAACUUCCCAAGGUAGGGGUAAGAUUCGCGUACAUACUACCUUUCCUAGACCCCACUUAUGGGAUUACAUUGGGUAUUGUUGUAGAAUAUAUUAGUGCACUUAUUACUAUGUAUGUGGUUCAAGUCUGGAUAGUGGAGCGUCUUAAAAGUCUGGAUAGUGGAGCGUCUUAAGAGCUAUGAAGUGAAAUUUUAGAUGGAGUGAUUUCUGUAGGGGUUUGGUUAUUUAAAAAUGUAAUCUUUCUUACGUGUGUGUAAGGUCUGCGUACACUUUGACCUCCUCAAACUCCACUUUAUGGUACUACACUCAGGGGCAGAGCAAGUAGGGCUGGGGAUUCCUCUUUGGCAGAAAUUACAUUGUUUAUGUAUGGUUAAAAUUAUUUUUUACGUAUGUAGUAGAUGUUGAACCUCCUUCGACUACUUCGUAUGUUUACUUCUUCAUAUUUUGAACUCCUUUUGUGAAAAUUCUGGCUCCGCCACUGUCUACGCCGAGUAUGUUGUUGUUUUUCUUGAGUGUGUGUGUGUUUGGGUGGGGUGGGGUGGGGUUACAUGCUGAAAAAUGCUGAGCAGUUAUUGUUUUGAUAAAUUUCUAGGCAAAUCCAUUGCGAUUGUAUCUGACAUGCAUAAGAAACACGCUCGAAGCAGCAAUGUGUCUUCAGGUAUGUAACAUUCCACCUGUUAAACAUCAUUAGAAAUUUUUGCGGUUAUGUAAUGGAAUUUUUUUUUCAAAAAGUUCCAAUGUAAGAACACUAAAUACUUAGAUGAGUCCUUUUAAUUGUUGUGUUUGACUUGCAUUGUCGUUGGCCUGAGAUAUAAAGUUUGAGGUUUAUAUGCCGAGACAUAAAUGAAAGUUGGUAGUUUGAGACAUUUCCUAGCAUAAUGCUAUGACGUUUUGGGUGAUUUGAGCCGAGUUGAGUUCCCAUUCCAUUUACAUGUAGGAGUUUUAGUUUCUCGGUAGUCAUAUAUGCUUGUAUGAGGGAGUCCAUAUGCUGCAUGCUACCAAACACUCCUUCCCACCCACUCCACCCCCAACAAAAAAAAAUCUGAAUUCUGCAUCUGCUUUGUACUAUUAUUAUAAUUAUUUUCUUCAUCACCUUCGCUACAUAUUGUUAUGGUUCUUUAAACAUGUGUUAUUUGUUCAGCCAACUAGCUCGGAAUUGAGUAGUAUUAGUUAUUGUUGUAUGUUAUUUCUGCCAACAUAUGUUAUAUGUUCUGCAAAUUAAUUUGUUGCAUUUGACAUAUCUUGAUAUUUCUGAAAAAAUAAUCUGGUUUAUUGUCAUGGUUUGAAUAUAAAAUUGCGAAGUUGCUAGUCGUGCGAUGAGGUAUCAGGUUUUACUUUUAAGCUCCUUCAACAAUUUAUUCAGUAAAUAUGAUGACUUAGUUACUCUAUACCCAUCUUAAUCUCUCGUUUUGUCAUGGUGGUUCGCUGGUUGCAGAAUUUCCCAUGCCAAGAAGUAGAGAGGCAUAACAAACCGGAGGUUGAACUAAAGUAUGACUUCAUGCUGCAGUCUCAUUUUACUCAAAGUUAAUGAUGCCGGUUAAUAUUCCAUAAUUAUCUCUUCUGUAGUUUAUCAAAUGGCUUUACACUUUACAGCAUGCGAAUUCCUUUAAUCCAGAAAAAUUUCAUGUGUAUUCUUAUCAAAUAUAGUAUAGUUGGAUUCUGAAACAAAAACUUCGACUUGCAUGAACAAAUCACUUGGACAGCAGAAUUUGAUAUUUUACUAAAAUGCUGUUGCUGAGUUCUCAGGUCUUUAGGGAGAAACUUAUACGCUUCCUAACUACGCUUUUAAAACAAUUUUUUGAGACAAGUUCUGUUGGAUUCAAUAACUUGUUUUUCAUAUCAAAUGCAGUCUACCUCAUCACAAGGCGAAAUGGGCUGUUAAUGAUUUAACUUUUGGAUGUCAUUGCGAAAAUAUAUAUUUGAAGCUGCUAAAUUUGAGGCAAAUAUAAUUAAUAGCGGAUGUGUUCAUACUCUUGGUAGCAACUCAUAUUUUCUGAACUGCUGUUUCGUAAUGAACUUCUAAGAGAAUGUGACGUUACUUGUCUCUUUUAAAUGUUAUUUGUUACCUGCAAAGCGUGUAUAUCAGAAUAGUAAUGUUUUUCUUAUUUUGUAUGUUCUUCAGGACAAGCCCAGAACUUCUUCUCAAUCCUGUAAGAACUUUUUUAUAUUCUAAACUUUUUUUUUUUUUGAAACUACUUUUUUAUAUUCUUAACUUUGAUCUUUAUUUUGAAGAGCUCCGCUGGGCGGACUAAAUUACAUGUUACUAUGAAUCGCUAAUAGAUGCAUUUAAAUUAGUGAUUGGGUGUUAUUCUGUUCAUAAUAUGUUUGAAGUGUUUAGAGAGUUCUUGCUUUUACCCUGUUCAUAAUAUGUUUGAAGUGUUUAGAGAGUUCUUGCUUUUACAAUAAUAUAAUUUUUCUCUCUCCCGAUUAACUAUUUGUUAAAAACCUGCUCACGAGUUGUUUCUUUUAGCGGCCAACAAAUUGUCGAUGAGUUACUUUAAUUAUGUAACAAGUUGUCCAAACUGUUUGGGGACGCUAGCUAUGAGUUUCUUGAAUGACGUAACAAGUUGUUCUAGUUGGUUGGGAACUAUAGCUAGUCUUACAUUUGGCCAUCUAGCGUCACUGAUGCCGAGAGGUGGAGCCAGGAUUUCAAUUCAGGGGGUUCAAUAUCUGAAGAAAACCUAGUCGAAGGGGGUGCAACGCCUACUAUAGAUACAUAAAAAAUAAUUGUAAUCAAAUAUAAAUGGUAUAUUUUUCCGUCAAAAGGGGUUCGGAUGAACCCCCUGCUAAAGGGCUGGCUCCGCCCCUUCUGAUGCAGCUUUACUUCAUGAUAUUUGCCAUUAGAAAAAGUCAAGUUUCUUUUUUGAUCUUGAUGGUGAGCAUGUUCUCAAUAGCUACGUAGGAUGAAAUAUUCAAUAAUGCAAGGUGCCAAAGAAUAUAGUUAUCUGCCUGCUUUAGGUGUAUAGAGAUGAAUUUUUAUUUUUUUUUCUGCUUGCACACCCUCAAUGGUUAGUCUGUAAACUUCCUUAUAAUAUAUUACCAGUUUCUACCAUGAUAAUUUUAGAUUUAGUGUAACUUGUAAGUUUCUGAUUAAUUGUUAUUCAUUUGCUUCCAAUCUUAGAAGUAAAACUUCUGAAUUAAACUUCUAAUGUUCUUACUGGUACUUUAUCUUGGAAUUCACAUGCCAAAAUUUUUAUUAGUUGUAUGUCUUACGUCGAUCUAUUCAAUCUUUCCCAUGUGCCAAUCCACAGGUUACGAUUUGUAGAAAUGAGGCUGAAAAGUGUUUGAUUGAGACAUCUAUAAAUUCCCUAAGAAUAAGUCUAAAGGUAGGUUUGCUUAGCUCUUCACAUACAUUGAUUCUCAUAUUCCUAUGUAACGAGUUACUCAGCUACAAAUGAUGGUGCAUGUUGGCAAAAAAUAUGCGCAUAAUUUUUUGCCGUUUCUGCUUUCCUUCUUAUAGGGUAGAGUAGAUUACGGUACCUUAAAACUAUAUUUCUCUAGUUAUAUAUCUUCUUCUCUAUGCUAAAUGCCAUUGGCUAGGUGUUCAAUAGCAGUCACAUUGUAGUACCAUAUGCUACCGACUGGUAGAUGCAUCAAAUUGUAGUAACACUAAUGUGUUGUAUUUAGCAUGGUAAAACAAAACUUGGGAUUUGCCAAUAAGUUAAUUGCUAGAUCAUGUAGAAACUCAGAUCAGUUAGAAACUAAUAUUAGUCCCAGAAAAAUAGAAUUUGCAAUGAACUAUAAGAUUCUGGAUUUUGAAAAUCACCGGAAAAAAAAAAAAGAAAAAAGAAAGCUUAAGCUCCUCACGUGCGAUUGUGGCUGUGCAGGUGAAACAGACAGAUGAACUUGAAAAUAUACUAACGAAGAAGUUUCUUAGAUUUUUGUCGAUGAGAGCAGAAGCAUUUCAGGUGUUGAGGAGAAAGCCUGUUGAGGUUUGUAUUUCUUUCAACUCCUUAUAACUGAUUCCAUGCUUUGGCAUGCUAUGUUGCUCGGACUCUUCAAAAAUGUCGACAGAUGCAUGUCGGAUCCUCCAAAAAUAGUGUAUUUUUGAAGGAUCCGACACAGGUGGAGCAACAUUUUUGGAGAGUCCAAGCAACUUGGUUGGCAUGUUCUAUAAUUCUGUGUACUAAAUUAUGCAGUCAUGUUUGACAGAACUUGAAUGACCAAUUUACUUCCCAUCCCUUUUUGCUUAUCUCUCUCUCUCUCUUUCUGCUUCUACUUACCAUUUUUUCGUAAUCGGAAUACCUCUAGUUAAACCAAUUUUAUGUGUAAAAACUAUUGAUUUAUUUUUACUAAAUAAAAAAGGUGGCUCUUGUAAUGUCUGAAAUCAUAGUUGAGCUUUUGGACUUGCGUCAAGUGAUAUGAUUUGGGAUUAUGUAAAACAGUUUUGAUUUUUAUCUCUUAUUCUUUGCAAGUUGACAGGGACCUCUUUUUUUUUNNNNNNNNNNNNNNNNNNNNNNNNNNNNNNNNNNNNNNNNNNNNNGGGGGGUGGGGGGGGUCCGCUCGACAAAGAUGGCUAAUACCCUUAUUUUGUCAUCUUCUUAUGGGGACCUAAGGUGAAGCUUUAUGGAACCAUUUGAAAAGUUUCAGUUGCUCUACCCGCAAAAAAAGGUGGAAGAUGUUCGUUAAGUACUAUACUGAGAUCAGCGUAGUCAAAGGCACGCUUAAAGCGCACUUAAGCCCUGAAGCAACCCGUUGCACCUUUUUUUAUUAAACCACAUUUUAUUGCGCUUAAAGGCCCAACUUACCUUAUGAACUUUUGUGCGCAUUUUGCUUUUGAUUACACUUGUAAGAGAUGUUGACACAUUCAGCUGUGUGGAUGCUUCCGAGCUUUAUUUGCUUCCAACCUCCAUGUGAUUGCUUCCGCAGCUUGGUUGAGAACAUAAAAAAUUGUUUACUAUUGAUGUGUAGUUAUGUAUUAGCCCUAGAUGGAGUGUAGCAAUGUUUGGAGUCUACCAAGUUUUUCGCCUGUGAGUUUAUUAGCUGACACUGAAUCACAUGUGUGAAUUAAGACGUAAAUUGAGAAUAUUUGACAUGCUUAAUGGUUGAUCACCCGGUCUUAGGUAAAUGAUUUGUUUGUAAAUGUAAAUUACUUGUUGAAUAACUUGCUUUUAAUCAUCUGAAUUUUGCUGUGCGUUAUAUUUCAGGGCUACGACAUUAGUUUUCUCAUCACAAAUUAUCAUUGUGAAGACAUGCAGAAGCAGAAGCUUAUUGAUUUCAUCGUGCAAUUCAUGGAGGUACAAUUAUUAACCCCCCAUCCCCACCCCUUUAGGACCAAGGACGACGUAACAGUGAAACGUCUGGAUCCGUCGCUUAUGAAACUGUUUGAAAUUUCAACGAGUUGUAUGAGUCUCUAGAUGCCAUGAAAAAAGAAAAUGAAAUUGGACCAAAGCUUUUCUUCAGAUGAAAAGGAUUGGUGAAAGUUAGUAAAAAUGCUUUGCUAAAGGUAAUCUACCUCUAUUAUUAGUUGAUAGGGAGUGUCUUUCGUAUGACCUAUAGGUCACGGGUUUGAGCAGUGGAUUCAACCACUAAUGCUUGCGUUAGGGUAGGCUGCCUAGAUUACACCCCCUGGGGUGUUUGGCCCUUUCCCGAACUCUACGUGAACACAAAUGCUUUGUGCACGGGGCUUCCGUUUGUCUAUUCGUUUUUGCUUAACUCGGGGGGUUGGGUGGAGAGCAGGUGUGGUGGUUAGUGGUCUGUCAUUGGAACGAUGAAAACAAACAACAACUUACUUAAUAUAGUCCACAAAUGGGGUCUGCGGAGGGUGAGGUGUAUGCAGACCUUAGCCCUACGUUUAUGAGGUAGAGAGGUUGUUUCCGAUUUGGAAUGAUGAAAAUAUGGCAUAAGAACGUGGAAAAGGUUUAAAAAAAACAAAUUUGCUGUACGUCGUGUUUGAGUAAUUAAACCAAUGAGCUGAGUAUCACAUAAGUGAUGUGCAGUAGUCGAUAGCACAAAAUCCAGUAAAGAUGGAUCGAUGUACUUCAUAUACUUCAAUCGACAAUCUAGCUUGAAAAUCUGAACCAUUCCGCUUCUUUUAUGAAAUUGCAGGACAUCGAUAAGGAGAUCAGCGAACUGAAACUGUCAGUGAAUACGCGAGGGAGGCUUGUCGCUACAGAGUUUCUAAAGCAAUUCAUCUGAUGCUUCCUUUUCGUCGUAACUAGAAUAUAUAUUCAUUUUUAUUCCUCUGCUUGAAGCUAUAUAUUACAGAAAUUUUCUUAUUGUUAUUGCAUCAAUGAGAUCUCCCGUUUUCUUCACUUAUGUAAGUUUUUCAAUUACAUUAUAUUAAGACCUUGUAGUCCUAAGGUUAACCUUUGGUUAUGAUGUAUAAAGACUUUCAGUUGAUAUUUGAAUUUGUUGAUUUCUUGGAAACAGUCUCCGGUAGAAAUGCAAGGCAAGACUGCGUACAAUACACCCUUGUGGUGGGGGCCCCUCCCCGGACCCUGCGCAUAUCGGGAGCUUUAGUGCAUCGGACUGUCUUUUUUUUCUUUUGUAUGAUACCAAAGUACCAAGUCUCUGAUAUGUUGUUAUUUCAGCAUUAGGUUUGCAUAAUGUGGCCUAAUAGUCAACGAAGUGAGACGAAAAAGUUCUUAUUAUUUGUUCAAGUCCCGGUGGAUGGAGUUACUCGAUACUCGUGUUGAGAGGAGGUAGCAAGUGGACCAUUGAAUUAGUUCAGGUGUACGCGAGUUGGUCGAGAAACUAUCAUACAACAACAUACCCUGCGUAUUCCCAAAAAGUGGGGUCUGGGGAGGAUAAAGUGUACGCAAGCCAUUGAUACGGGUACGACCACAAGGAUGCAUGUUUGUGAGAUGUAUUGAACCCGAGACUUGGAGUGUGAAAGUGAAGUGCAAAUGAGGACUUAAAAAGGAUCCAAAACCGUCCAUAUAAUGCUCUCCAAGGGCACCCACUUGAAGACUUGAGACUAAGGGGUUAUUUUGGACAUUUCACACCUUGUUUGUAAACUACUAUAUAAGGAACCUUUUAAGUCAUUUGUUAGGAGACUUUUGCUGAAUAUGGAUGUUGUGUAACACUUAGAAACAUUUCCUCUCUAAGGAGAGAAGACCAAAAAUCUGAAACUUGUAACUAGGGAAAUCAACUUGAGUGUGGAAUCACUCGUGUUGGAUUCAAGCUUGGAAAUGUUGGAUGCUUGGGAGAUCGAGGUCACUCUUGUACCAACGUAAGAGAUAGGUUUGUGUUGUGUGUAGUAUUAAAGGUUCAAGAAUGUAACAAGUCUUGAAUUGUUAAUAUUAUUCCUUCAUUUGGUCUAUCUACCUAUCUUUAUCUUAUUGCACUUUGUAGAUUCAUAGUGGACUGUUUUUGUGUCUUUUUGAAUCCGAAUUUUGUAACCAUUGUGUUCAUCUUGCUCAUCUUAUAUUGUGGCUGUUUUGGUGUUGAAAAACACACCUCUUUAUCUUGUUAUUGUGUUGUUGAUAGCGAAUCCGAGAGUGAUCUUCAAAAGGGUCCUCAAAUCCUUAAGAUUAGUGGACUGUUUUGGAGAUGUUUUGUGUUUCUCUUCUUUUUUCCGUAUCAGCCAUACCACUACGUCAGAUGAAGUAGAGAAGUUGUUUCCGAUAGACUCUUAGCUCGGGAUAAAUAACAAUAUAAAAAACCAAAAAAAACAUAAAAGCAACAACAAAAAGGAAUAUCACAAAGCUAGAUAAUAAAGGAAACAUGACACCCGCAAAGUAAUAUUAUAAACUAGUUAUUCAAAGUCAUAGACAUCACCAAACCAUCACGAACAAGAGACUACAAGAAACUACAUAAACAGAUAGAAUCAGACGACCUGAUACUUGAUAGUCAAACGAAGUGAGACAAUUUUUUUUUAUUUGCUCAAGUAUCGAUAGUUAGAGUUACUCGAUACUCGUGUUGUGAGGAGGUAGCAAGUGCACCAUUGAAUUAGUCUAGGUAUACACGAGUGGUGAAGUCUUGAACCACGUCAUUAUCCUUUCAGAUUAUAAUCAACUAGUGAAUAUGUCCGUACUUUGCACGGUUAUUAAAAAAAUUAAAUUAUAUCUAAAUAAUAUUACAAUUUUCAUAAUAAAAAUAUCUUUAUUUUGAUUAACUUUACUUUUAUAUUUUCCAACCGUAAUCCUAAUUGCUUCUUAAGGUAAUUAUACAUCAAAAUGUUAAUUGUUCUUUUAUUAUAUACGACUUUUGCUGUGUUCAGAUAUUGCUUUCAAAAGAAUUUCAUUCAAUUUUUUUAAAAAUAUACAUGACCGACCUGACAAAGACAUUACACACAUGGAUUAAGUUUCUUAUUGACUUACUAUAUAUCCAUAAAAAUCGAAAUAAUUCAUGGCAUGAUUAAUAUGCAUUAAAUCACCUUAGAAACAGAAGAAUCAAUACAUGCCAACAACAAGUGUUCAUCAAACGUAGGCAGAUAAAGUAAUUGAAUGUCCAACAUCAUGCUUCCAGAAUAAAUCACCGUUUUCUUAAAAAUACUAUAAUUUAGCUAAUGGAGCAACUUUUAAAAAAAAUUACUUCUCAUAAGACUUUUUAUUACAUAAAGUGAUGAGUAUCAUAUACUUUUUUCUCUUCAUGAUAAAAGUUGAUCGAUAAUCAAUUAAACAAUCUAAUCGGGAAUACUACAGCUUGUGAACAUUCUCUCUCUCUGUUGAUCUUAAACUUUCUACUUUUAAAUCGACUAAUCAAAAUCUAUCGAAACGCUUCAGGACUAGAACCAAAGAUCCUAUGAACACAAAAAUCAUAUUUCAAAGCCAACGAAACUUUAAAAUUUUCAUUUCAACCUUGAUAUCACUAAAUACUGACUUUGGUCAAUCACAUUGGAUUUCAAGUCUUUAAAAAUAAAAAAAAAAUUGCUUAAUUCUCAUCCAGUCACCUGAAAAUCAUGUCCCACACCUGCAGACAUAAAACAAUUAUGGAAAUGGGACAAAAUAAUCUAAAUGCAAAGAAAAAGAAAAAUUACAACAAGGGUUAUUAGCACUCUCUUUGUUGUAAAAUGAUCGUCAUUUUUCGCUUUUUUGAUAAUCAAUUUAAAUAAUUUUCAAGUUAAAUUACAUUAGAUUAGUUUGAUUUAAUAGUAAAAUUAAAAAUAUUUUUUAAAAAAAACAUACAAAGAAUAUUAUAAACUAUAGUACGUAAUUAUUUUCAUUAAUAUGAUUAAAAAGACAUAACAUAUCAGGGGUGACUCAAAGAUAAAGCUAGUAAAGCAAUUGCUUUAGACCCCCAAAGUUUGGGAGCCUCAAAAAUUUUAAUAAUAAACUCUGUGAUUUCAACUUCACUUGAAAUAAUAAUGAAAUUAUGAAAUACAUUUUUAAAAAUUAUCUAAAACUAAUUUAAAAAAAAAAAAAGAAAGAGAAAAAAGUUCUCAUUUUUACAAAAAAUAUUUUAAAACUUUAAACCAAACAACUAAAACUUUAUAUUAAUAAAUAAAAUUUUAACAACAACAUAACAUCUUAUUAACUAAAAUUAAUAUUUACUUUUAUUAAUAAACAUACAUAUUAAUAUGUGAAAUUAAAGGUUAUAUAUCAUUUAAAAAUAUUAUAUCAAAUAAUAUUUUUGUACGUAUAUCUAUAUAUUAUUAAUUUUAUUGAGAGGUAUCAUGGCUUACUACCUUAACGAGGGAAUAGUAGAGUAUUGUUGUAUCUUUGGUUGGGUGCUUGUACAUUUCUCCUCCUCCAUCCUCAUGAACAAAAGGCUUUCCAAAUUGAGAUUUACCUCCAUACAAGAAUCCUAAAUCCACAACUGGACCAUUUCGUUUUGUUUGAUACAAAUGGCGGAUGUUGGUGCACAAUCUCAGCUGAUCCCUAAUCUCCCAGACGACAUAGCCUUACAGUGUCUAGCAAGAAUCCCCCGUUCCCAUCACCCUACACUGUCUCUCGUCUCCAAAUCUUGGCGGUCCACCUUAACUUCUUCCCCUACACUCUACAACACCCGAUCACUCAUCCGUACUACCGAAACUUUCCUCUACUUAAGCCUCCGUAUUAACUCCACUUUCCACUGGUACACUCUCGUCUCCCACAAAUUGUUGUUUCCAGUUUGUUCAAUGCCCGUUAAGCCGAUUGGACCGGCUUUUGCUGUAUUGGGAUCCAAGAUAUAUGUGAUUGGUGGAUCUAUUGGUGAAAUACCGUCGAAUAAUGUGUGGGUUUUUGAUUGUAGGUUUAAUUGUUGGGAAAUGGGACCGAGGAUGAGGAUUGGUAGAGAGUUUGCUGCGGCUGGUGUUGUGAAUGGGAAGAUUUAUGUGAUGGGUGGGUGUGUGGUUGAUAAUUGGGCGAAGUCGAUGAAUUGGGCUGAGGUUUUUGAUCCCGCAACGGGGUUAUGGACUGCGUUACCGAGUCCGAUUGAAGUUAGGGAUAAGUGGAUGCAUGCUACUGCGGUUGUGGGGGCCAGGGUUUAUGCGAUGACGGAUAGGGGAGUAGUGGUGUAUGAUGUUGAAGGGUGUCAAUGGGGGACUGUGUCGAAAAGGCUUGAUUUGGGUUGGAGAGGACGGGCUGUGGUGGUGGGAGGGGUGCUGUAUUGUUACGAUUAUUUGGGUAAGAUUAUAGGGUAUGAUGUGAAGGAAGAUGUAUGGAAAGAGUUGAGAGGGGUGGAUAAGUGGUUGCCAAAGUUUUUUUGUGGUGCUACGAUGGUGAAUUUCGAUGAUAGGUUAUGUGUUGUGUGGGAAGGAAAAGGGAGCGGCAAGGAAGUUGAUAUUAUGUGUGCGGAGAUUCAAGUGCAGAGGGAUGAGGAUGGAGGGUUGAGUGGGAACAUUUUGUGGUCGGAUAUGAUUCUUGUUGUUCCUAAUGGUGCCUCAAUUGUGCAAUGCUUGGCAGUUGAUUUGUGAUGAUUACUAUAAAUAAGGUGCGGUUAUUGUCAAGCUUUCGUUAAGCAUUUUAUUGAAUUAAUAAUCUGACUGUUUGUUGUUGUCGCUUCAUUAUUUCCUUUAGCUUUUUCAGUAUUUGGUGCUUUUUAAAGUUAUUGCUUGAAUUUGACUUGGGCCAGGUAUACUUGUCAUUGUUAAUUCACAAUGUUGUGAAUAAUUGGGUGUAUUGUUUAUCCUGUGGCAUUUUCUAUACGUGUAUUCAGUUUGAAAAUAAUAUAUAUUUGAUGGCGUCCACAAUUCAUUUACUAUAUGUAGUAUGUGGACUGUGGCUGUCUAAUGUGUUAGAUGUGGUUAUGGUGUUGGUAGCAAAAGUAGGGGGAAUUUCUUGAAUGGAUAGUGGAUUGAAAAUAACUGGAUUUGUGAAUCGAUCCUUCCCCUAGAAAUCCACAACACUUCUGUAGUUGUUUUAUAGGGCUUACUUUUCACUUUGGUAGGCAUCCUUGUAUCACAUAACAUCCCGAGAACUUCUCUAUUUCAAUCCUAUGUAUAACAUCUUCAUAUCAUUCCAAUCUCUUGAAACAACAAGUCUAAAAUUUGAAUUGUUUGCAUUUGACAUCUCACCUCAACUUCAGUCUUCUCAUACAGACUAAAAUUGCAGUGCAUGUAUUGAGUCCUACUUCUAGUUCUACUUAUUCUAAAAUCCUUACACCACUCUAAGGUGAUUCUCCAUAGUGCAAAUUUUUGUUUGACACUCACUCGUUUCGUCUUUUUAUUCACUCUGCCUUUCUAUUUUCAAUCCACUACUUUUGGCUUUAAACUUCAUUUUGUCCUUGCCUGCCUUUAUUCACUCAUUUCGUCAAAAACUUAGUAUUGUUUAGGUUUAUAUUAAAAUACGUUACUUAUCUACUAAUAAUGUCGAAGUCAUUAAAAUAGAUGUUAAUCUCAUACUAAACGGGAAAACAAACUUCGAAGGAGAUUCCGGAACAACUUUUUUUUAUUUAUAAUUGUGGUGUCCGCGCCAGCUUGUGUGCAGCUUGACUAAUUCCACGAGAUAUCUGUCAUCUCCCACCAUCAACAAGUAUCAGGUAACUCUGUCCACCAAGGCAAGAACAGAUAGGAAGAAAUCACCUAGUGUUUGUCUCUGUUGGGAAUUGAACGUGAGACCUCAUGGUGCUCAACUCAACUUCACUGAACCACUAUGCCACACCCUUGGGUGCAUUCCAUAACAAUUUAUAAAUAUUAAAUAAUUAGCAAAGAUCUUUUUUUUUUUUCUGUUUUUACUAGACAUAAUCUCAGAGUUAGGUACUCAAAACGCUUAUAUAUGCUCCACUUGAUUGCUUUCUCACAAGUAUUAGCUUUAUGUUUUUAGCUUUAAGGAACACGUAUAAUGGUUAGAUGUAUGCGUUAAGUAUUUUUAUGGGGUUGACUUAGAGUCCAUUUGAAUUGGCUUAAUUUAGGUGUUUUUAAGCUAAAAUAAUUUUUAAGCACUUUUGUAGUGUUUGGGUAAAAUUUAAAGGUGCUUUUAACCACUUCUUUUUAAGCCAAAAUAACAAAAAUAAGCCAGAAGCCAUAAGUUAGAAAUCAUAACUUACGGCUUCAUAAAGUAUUACUCCCCUCUCACGUGGUCACCUUUUUUUUUGUAUGUCCUGAAAAAAAUGUUUUAUGGCUUGUUUAAACAAUACGUUUCAAAAGUAAUUUCAGGAUUUAUUCAUCUUAAUAUAUUAUUUCAUAAUGCUCAUUUAUAAUUUACGCUUAGUUUAGUACUCACUUCCGUUUCAAUUUGUUUGUCAUACGUUCUUUUUUAGUUUAUUUUAAAAAGAAUGUCACUUUCCUUUUUUAGGCAACUCUUUAAUUUAUACUUUCCACAUGACAUGUUUAAUACUACAAGAUUGCAGGACAUUUUGUUACAUUGUAUAUAUCUAUAUCUUUAGUUUAAGACCACAAGAUUCAAAAGAUUGAAAUGGUGGGAGUAAUGUAUAAACUUUUAAGAAAAUUCAUUGAUCCAUGUCCCAUCUAAUUCUUUUACAAUAUAAUGGAUGAGGAAUGCGAUUCUUGAAUUUACUGUUGCUGAUUGAUUUGAUUUUGAGUUUCAAAUAUCUUAACAAUUCUGCUGAGGUUUUAAACAAACCUAGCUUGUCUGCUCGUCAGGAUUCCAGCCAGAGACUCAAAUGCAUUUCUCUCAACUUCACAGUUUGUAACGACAAUAUGUUGAAUAUUGUGGACUUCCUAGCACCAAGAUCCAUUCAUUUCCCUACUGACAAAACAAUGCAUUCGGUCAGACAUGUUUGAAAUACUCAGUUGUCUUCGAACAACUACUAGCAGACCUCGUUGGCUGUAUGAUUCUUCACUGUCCAAAAAUAGUCUCUUGUGUUCAAAAUGGGAAAAUACUACUACAGAAUCUCAGUGUACAAAAUCUCCUGCAUCAUUAUGUCAAGGAACAAAACUUUUUAAAAGCAGGAUUGCCUCGGAUUAAUGCAGACACUUCACAGGUUUGCUUUGGUAGUUUCACUUUGACAUUGUAAUUCUGACAUGGAGUUUUUCAUUGCUUACAUGCAUAUUUUCUUGUGAGAUAAAUGAAACAAUCUCUGGCAAAAAUGCAAUGCAAGGCCUUUCCUUUGGUCAAGUCCUUUCCCGGAUCCUAUGCAUGGAAAGAGCUUUGAUACAUCGGACUGCUCUUUUACUUAUUUGCUUUAUCAUCCUAAACUAGGGCAUUAAACAGCUAUAUCACUAGGACACUUAAAAAAUACCCACGGUUGAAUGUGUGUUGGAUCUUUCAAAAAUGCAUAGCUUUUAUAAUUUGGUACGCCAAUUACACCUUGCCCUUUCCCAAUAUUCUUAUCAUGUGGUUUUUAUUGUUGUCUAGAAAUGAAAUAGCUUCCAAGUAUUCUUGUUUCGUCAGAUAAAUAAUAAUAUUAAAGCAGUACUAAGUAGCAUAACUCAAUUCUAUUUUAGUUCAGAUUUAGAACAAUACAAAAUAAACCACAAUUUUUAGUUGGUGAAAUCGAUUUGUUUGGAUAGUAUCCCAUCAUCAGUCAACGGUAAUGUUGCUAAUUCAAACAAAAGAAAUAAAGUUUUAAAACAGCUAUCUGCAGAUCUAAAUAAAGGGGCUGUACCACCACAAGGGUGUAUCGUACGUAGCUUUACCUUGCAUUUCUGUCAGAGGCUGUUUUGAACCGGUGACCUCCUGGUCACGUGGCAGCAACUUUACCAGUUACACUUGCACACGAUUGGUGGUGCUUUAACAAGUUGUCAAUUUGUAUAAGAACCUGCACACAUGCAUGCAUACAAUGGAUGUAGUUUAGCGACAAGUAUUAUUGAAUUUGGCUGACGCUUGAGAUGUAUUUGUAUAAUAAGCCAAGAGCCAAAAGAUGGAAGGUAAUUUCAGUAGGUGUAAUAUUGCAGACAUCUUUCUCCCUUUUCACUGCAAUAUCUACAAAAAGGAAACAGGUAUUAUACUAUAUAAUUCAGCCAGCAUACAAUACAGGCCAAUGCAUUGGCAUAAUGUUCACCCCUCUUGUCCAUUAAAGUAGUUAGCCGCUUCAAAGACAAAAGACGUAUCAACAGGAAGAACAUACAAAUCAAAACAGGAAAUGCCGACCGCGUCUCCUCCUGAUUCUUCAUGUAAAAGGGGACGAGAUUUAGUUCCUUGUGCAAUAAGCCGAUGCAUCAAAGAUAGCUUCUGCAAUACCUCCGUCUAAAUACAACAUACAGAACGAAAAAUCAUUUAAUAUCAAGAAUUAAAUGGAAAGAAACACAAUCAAACAAAUGGCAAGAAGCUAGCUACUACUAUAUAUGCAAGUUUAAUUCAACCUGACAUGUCAAAGAUGGAAACUAAAGUUCAAUCUGGUUAAAUUUUCACUUCAAAUUCCUUCCUUAUUCAAAACUAAAUAUAUAGCAAUUUAUUUCAUUUAUUAGCUUUUUGUUCAGUUUAAUUUUUAAUCAAAUUACAAGGAAAUUAAAAAUUGAAAUGUGAAACUAUUAAAUAAAUUACAGGAUUAUAGUGUUGAUGAAAGAAGAAAAUGAGAAAAAAAAACGUGAGUUGGAGAAUUGAUAUUAUAUAGUGGGUCCCACAAUUUACUUUAAAUUUUGCUCAAAAUUGUGUGUUCUCUCUCUCUUCUUUUUGGCAGUUGAAAUUGACAAUUAGUCCACAGUCCAUGUGUCAAAAAGCAUAGUGAACGGUGUUGAUCGUAGUAUCUUGAGAUUGUGGUGAUAAAAUAUUAAAAAGUGUCUGUUAUAUUUGUUAAUUAAUAAUUACUUAAAUUUAGUGAUUAUAAUAUUUUAAUAUUUAAUAUUGAUAUUAUUUUUUGUGCUUAAAUUAUUUCUUAUAAAUUAUUGAGUUGAUAGAGACACUGAUAUACUAGUUAACAAUUAAUAAUAUUUUCUAAAAAAAAUAUUUUUUCACUCACCAAUCAAACACUAGAAAAUAUUUUUCUAAAAAAUAAUCUCUAUCCACCAAUCAAAUACCAUAAAAUAUUUUUUACUCACCGAUCAAAUAUGAGAAUAUAAAUAGAAAACCAACUUAUUUUCUAGGAAUAUUUUUGCAUAGAAAAUAUUUUCCAAUCAUAUCAAACUGUAUCUCACACAAAUUAAAAUUUUUCUGUUAUCAUUGCUGUCACCAUAUAUUAGACCUCAUAUUUGAACUCCUAUCAGUUAUUUAAUGCUAAAAAAAGGACACUUUUUAAUAUUUGUACAAAUACUAAUUAGACAAAUACUAGUCUACUGUACGUGCAAAAGCACGUAUAUAUUGUGCUAAUUAAUAUUUUCUCCAUUCUAAAUUAUUUGAUUUAAAUUUUUUAAUUUAUUAUUUUAUUUUACUUAUCUUUUUCAUUAAUUAAAAAGAGAUAAAUUUUUUUUCUUGUUUUAUCCUUUGCAUUAAUUACUUUUUCUAUAAAAUUAAAAUAUAAACAUUAUUUAAUAGGAAUACUAUGAUAAACUAAGUAUGUUAUUAAUUAUUUUUAUUAAUCAACGUGUUAUUUAAAUUUGGGACGAAUGAUUUGAGACGAAGGAAGUAUAAAAUGAUAAAAACAACAUCUUAUUUAGAAAAAGCUAUUAACAUUACACGAAAUUCUAUAUUUGUUUAAAUAAUGAGAAUGAAUGUUAUUAUAUUGGUAAAGGUUGAAUUAUUUUUUGAAUGCUUAACUAUGAUGAAUUUAUGUCUACCUUAAGGGGAACGUUUUAUGUCCCUUCUUUGUGAAGUCUUUUCAUCGAUUAACAUUAUACUUUGAGAUUUGAUGCCUCUAUAAUAUGUCACAAUAAAUUAAAUGACUAAAGAACAAGAGUAAUUUCACACGCAAAAAAAGAGAAAAGAAAAUAUAUAAACAUGGAUAUGUUUGUAUAGACAUAGAGAGCAGAAUUUGAAAUCUGCAGGUCCCUACAACAAUCUCAAAUUAAUAUAAUGAUAAUUCAUUAUCACACUAACAAUUAAAGAGUGAAUUAAAUUAGUGAAUAAAAUUUCAUUAUUGAUAUCAAAACUCAAAAUUAUAUUAAUGGACAAAAACCAAUUCUAAAUAAUAAAGCUACAUUAUAUAGGAGCGUAAUAAUAUAACACAACUACUUAUAAUAAAUUAAUAAUAACAAAAAUAAUUAAUUAUAAUAAAGUAGAACAAGAAUUAAUAUCAAUGGCGAAAGAAAAAUAAUAAAGCAGAAGAACAAACAUUGAUUGCGAAGGAAAAAAAAAUACAUUUAUAUGACAUUAAAAAUAGAAAGAUCCGCACCUUUGGGUGUGGUUGAGUUGGUUUUAGGGGUGAUUUCCAAAGUGGAGGUCGCGGUAUCGAUCCCCUAAUGCUUUCUCAAUCUAACUCGUCACACGGAGUUUACCUUAUGCGAUUUACAUUUCCCGUGUGAUUUACGAACGAUUGCACAGUGAGGAAUUUACCCAAAAUGUUCAUCAGAAAGCAGAGGUUGUGACAGAGGUUAUAAUGCGCACAAAAUGCUCACUCAAAAAUAGAGAUUGUGACAAAAAUUGUAACGACUCUAGAUUUUUCUAGAGUUUUCAAAAACAAAAUAGAAAGAUCCUAUUCAUUCAAUCAUGACAUUUAUAUGACACGUUUCUCUAUCAAUAUCUUUGACAGCUUCUACCUGUCCCUGUGUCUGAUGAAAGGUCAGGGGAAAUAAUGUCUAUAUGUAUGUACAAAAAUUAAAUACAUGGGGUUUAAGUUGCUUUCAAAAAUAUAAAGUCUAGCACUUUCUUUUCUUUGUGUAGUGUUAGUGAGAGUUGUAUAAUAUUAAUAAAGUGUUUCUUUGAUUUCUUAUUCGGUAUUUGAUAUCUAUGUUAGAAUUUCGAUUAAUUUGAAUUAUGUAUUUUAAGAUUCAUUCUGAGGAUAGUACUCAUAAUGAAAUUUUCUCCAUACUCAGAACUCGAAUCCCAAAUAAAAAGUGGGAAUGAUAUGAAAAGAAUCUUUAUUUUGUUGUAAAAAUAAUUACUAAUGAUAUGAGAGUAGCAUGUUGGUUACCAAUACAUAUUUGUCUAAUAAUGCCGACAAUAUUCACAACCUAUUUAUUGACCCACCUAUUUUAUUGCUUGUGCAAAUAUUAAAAAGUGUCCCUUUUUAGCAAUAAAUAAAUGAUAAAAGAGUUAAAAUAUGAGGUCCAAUAUAUGGUAAUAGCAAUGAUAACAGACUACUACAACAUAUAUAUAUAUAUAUAUAUAUAUAUUUGGAUGUCAUUUGUAGUGGCACACUAACAAUUAUUUUAUGAUUUGUAUUUUUGUUUUUGGCUCUCUCUCUAUAUAGCCACAAUCAAUGAAAGAUAUAUAUAAAAAAAUUCUGCAUUCUUCUUUUACGUAUUACUCCUUGCUAUUCUGUUAUUUUAAUAUAUAAUUUCACAUCACGUUAUCAGCAUGAGCCUCUAUAAAAUCAUUUUGAAGGUAUUUAAAGAUUAGUAUUUUAUUUUCUCAAAUAAUAGCUAAUAUUUUCAAAUGCGAUUUUAAUGCCCUAGACAUAUCUGGCGAAACUUAUAUGUCUUGGACACUAGAUGUAGAAAUACAUUUAAAUGUAAUGGGUCUGGCAGGCACCAUUAAAAAUAAUAAUAAGGCAUCAGAUCAAGAUAAGGCCAAGACCAUGAUAUUUCUUUAUCAUCAUCUUGACAAAGGGCUAAAAAUGGAGUACCUCACGAUCAAAGAUCCCCUUACAUUGUGGAACAAUUUAAAGGAAAGAUAUGAUCACCUGAAGAUGGUCAUACUCCCAUAGGCUCGUAAUGAAUGAACCUAUUUGAGGUUCCAGGACUUUAAAAAUGUAACUGAAUAUAAUUCUGCGAUGUUUAAAAUUAAAUUGCAGUAUGACUUAUGUGGAGAAAAUAUCACAGAUCACGACAUGAUAGAAAAAACACUUUCUACUUUUCACUCCUCGAGUAUGGUCCUGUAGCAGCAGUACCGAGAAAUGAAUUUCAAAAAAUAUUCUGAAUUAAUUGGCCAUCUUCUUGUUGCUGAACAACAUAAUGACCUUUUAAUAAAAAAUAAUGAAACUCGGCCUCCGGGUACUGCUCCAUUCCCAGAAGUGAAUGCUGCAAAUUUUCACCCAACUUGGCGUGAAAGAAAUCCUGACCUCAGUCAUGGUCGAGGUUGAGGUCGUGGUAGUGACAGGUAUUUCAAUCAGGGUAAUCAUCUUGCAAUAAACAAUAACCCUCAGCAUCAGCUGUGCAAAAAGAGGGGUGAAGCUCCUGAAUUAGCACCAAGGACGAACCCUGAAAAUAUAUGUUAUCGAUGUGGAGGAAAGGGGAACUGGGAGUGUGCCUGUCGUACGCCUAAGCAUCUGGUAAAACUAUAUCGGUAUCCAUUAAAAGGCCAGAAAAUGAUGUUGAAACAAACUUCCUCCUAGAAGAUAACAUUGAGCCCAUGGACUUGGACAUUUCAGAUUUCGUUAAUGUUCCUGAAGAACAAGUAAAUCACCCUGUAGGUGAUAAUAAUGAUAUAAUCCGAUUAUGUUAAUUUUCUGUUAAGUUUGUAUUAGUUUAUUUUCUUUUGUUUGUUUAAGUUAAAAUUAAUUUACAUUUCUAUUAUUAAUAUUUUAAUAAUCUUAUAAAUUUAUAUAAUAUAUUAUGUGCUAGUGCCAUAGUAUAGUAUUAUGAUCACUAAGUAAUUUUGAUUUUGUAGUACGCACAUGAAGCUUUAACAAUGUGAGCUAUUUAUAUAAUGUUAUACUACAUAAAUUAUGCUAACGUUAUGACUAGAAUUAUUUAUUACAGUAAUGAAUAUUCAUAGAAGACAUAUUAUGAAAUUAACAUGAGUAUAUAGCCAAUAGAUCAUGUUAUUACAUACAAUAUUAAAUAUGUGUACUUUAGAUGCAUAUGGUUAGUAAUAGCAAAACUAUUAUGUAAUAGAGAUGUUAAUUGUUUAGAACACAGCUGCAAUUAAAAUAUGGAUAUAAAAUAAAAUAAUGUGUAAAUGCAUGAUAUUAUGUGCUAGUUAUAUUAUAAUAUUUGUGUUGUUUAUAUUUUUAUUUUGAAGAAAAUAUGGAUACUCCUCAAGUCUUAUUUGGAUCAAUAAUCGAUCAUGACGAUAUUUGUGUAAUUGAUAGUGGGACAACACACGCAAUAUUUAAAGAUGAAAAAUACUUUUCCCACUUACUCAAAAGAAAAGCAAAUGUUACAACAAUUGCUGGUAAUUCAAAAUUGAUCGAAGGCUCCGAAAGAGCUACUAUAUUUCUGCCUAAGGGACAAAAUUAGUUAUAGAAGAUGCACUGUUCUCUUCUAAAUCCCCAAGAAACUUAUUGAGUUUUAAAGAUAUUCGUAGAAAUGGAUAUCAUGUUGAGACAAUAAAUGAAAUGAAUGUUGAAUAUCUUGGCAUUACCAAGAAUUUCUCAGGUAAAAAACAAAUAUUGGAGAAAUUACCAGCUUUGUCUUCUGGUUUAUGUUAUGCCGAAAUUAGUACAAUUGAAGCACACUCUAUCAUAAACCAGAAGUUUACGGAUAUAAAUACAUUUGUGCUCUGGCAUGAUCGAAUAGGUCAUCCUGGCUCAAUAAUGAUGAGACAAAUCAUUGAAAAUUCAAAAGGGCAUCCGUUGAAGAACCUGAAGAUUCUUACACCGGAUGAAUUUUCAUGUGCUGCUUGUUAUCAAGUCAAACUGAUAACUAGGCCAUCGCCAAUGAAAGUUAGCGUUGAAUCCUCUCAGUUUAUGGAACGUAUACAUGGGGAUAUAUGUGGGCCUAUUCACCCACUUAGAGAGACAUUUAGAUAUUUUAUGGUCCUAAUAGACGCAUCUUCAAGAUGAUCACAUGUAUGCCUCUUGUCAUCUCGCAACCUGGCGUUUGCGAAAUUAUUGGCACAAAUAAUACGAUUAAGGGCACAAUUUUUACAUUAUCCUAUUAAGGCUAUUCGUCUAGAUAAUGCUGGAGAAUUUACAUCCCAAGCUUUUGAUGAUUAUUGUAUGUCAGUUGGGAUAAAAGUUGAACAUCUUGUUUGAUACAAGUGCGAUCACGUAGAUGAACUUAUGAGGAUGUGUAUUGAAUUCGUCCAUGUGUGUGUGCAAGAGAAGUGAAAUUAAGGGCUUAAAAUAUAUCAAAACAACCACUAAUUCAUACUAGAGGGACACCUAAUCUCUAAGGGGCAUUUUGGACUUUUUACCUUCUAUUUGUAAUACACUGUAUAGGAAAUAUUUUAGGGCUACUUUACUUAGUUUUUUGAUAUUGAAGAUUGUAUAACACACUUGAAAAACACAAGUUCUCUCUUUCGUAGAGACUUGGCUGAAACUAGGAAACAACUUAGGUGUGAAAUCAUUUUUGUUGUUUGUUUGCUUGGAUCGUUGGGUGCUAGACGGAUUGAGGUCCUCUCUUGUGUCCACCACAUAGUGUAGGUGUUUUUACUAUCUUUAUCAAGGGUCUUUGUGCUUGAAUACACUUAGGUUUUUGGUCUUUGUAGUAGUGUAUGUCACACUCUCUAUCAUUUUCUUUGUUGUAAUCUUGUAGUCGUGUGGUGUAUUGUUUCUCUUGUAACCCGUGUGUUGUUAUUAUUACAUUGUUGUUGUCCAUCUUGUUCUUCAUAAAUUGUUGUUAAUAUUAGUUUGGGUCUCUGAUUUGGUGUCAAAUACACCACGAAAUCUUGUAUUCUUGUUGUUGGUAGCGAAUUCGAGAGUGGUUAUCAAAAAGGUCCACGGUUCUUUCAACUUGUGGACUGAUUUUGGUGUUGUUUUUGUGUUCCUUAUCGAUCUUGUAUCAUUUGGUAUCAGAGCAAGGUUUGAUUUUGUUCUAACAAAAUCAAUCUUGGGAUUUUUAUCUUGAAAAUAAAAAAAAAAGUGAAAAAGAAGAAAAAAAAGAGAAAAAAGUUACUGUUCAUGUUAUUAGGAUUUUUCAAAAAAACUUGAUUUUUGUGUGUUUCUAGUGUUAGAUCAUUGUUCCCUAACACUAUUGGAAUCUAGAAAUUGAAAAUCCUAACAAAAAAGAAGCGUCAAAAUCAAAAAUCCCCCCAAAAAAAUACUAAACCCGUUUUUGACCCUAGGUCAAAUUUUGAGUUUUUGAUUUUGUGUUUUUCUUGUGUUUUAAGUGUUAGAUUUGUGUUCUAUAACACUAUAGGAGUAUAGGGUUCGAAUUUGAGCUGAAUUGGAGGUAAUUUGAGUCAUCCACCAUUGUUAAGCUUGAGUUUGAAAAAACUUGAAGGGUUAUUUUUGGUACAACCACAAUGGAACCCGAGGCUUCAAAUGCUUAAACAAUGGACAAUAAUGCCAUCAAUCUCAUUUUGGCUCACCAUGAAACUAUGUCCCGAGAUGUGGCUAGGUUGAAUGUGGGUCUUGAGAAAUUAAAUACGGAUGUGACAUUAAUGAGUGGGAUAUUAGAACGUGUGAAAAGUCAAAGGAGUCAACCUUCCACCCCUCAAAAUAUUUCCCCAACCAUUACUCUCAAGGCCUUGCACCAAAUGAACAAGUGAUCGAGCCAACCACCAAAUGUUCCCCAAAACUGUGAGUAAGAUAGAGCAACCCUUCCUCCACUUCACCAAGUCCAUGAUGGAUUUGGAACCCAAAUGCCACCAAACCCGAACCCUUCACUUAUCCAAAGACCUCAUUUUCCAAUCCAAACUCCAUUGAACCAAAGGCCUUACGAUCCUCCAAAUCCGAAUCCACUUAAUUCAAAUCCACCAAACUGUUUUGAGGUUUAUGGUAGGGAGGAACAACAUGGGGGUUAUGGUGAUGCUUACUUGAAGGAAGAAGAAGAGAUGGGUAGGCAAGGUGAUUUAGGCUGAGAAGUGAGGGGUGGUAACCAAACCCGAGAGCUUAGCCUCAAUUCCAUCAAAGUUAGUUUUUUGAUCUUCAAGAGUGAGAGUGAUCCCAAGGCAUAUCUUGCUUGGGAGUCAUCUUGUGAUAGGAUAUUCCAAGUGAAUGAUCUAACCGAAAAGAAGAAGAGUUGUUAUGCAAUCUCUCACUUUGAGAGUUAUGCAAACCAUGUGAAGAGGUUUGGUGAUAUGUUGAUUGCCGGGCGGCCACUUCCAUGGUUUAGAUUGAGGUACCUUAUGCGUAAAAGGUACUUACCCUUGGGCUACAAACAAGAACUUCUUGCCAAGUUGUACAACUUGAGGCAAAGAAACAAAAGUGUCAUGGCAUACUAUGACGAGUUUCAACAAUUGAUAUUAAAGCUUGACCAUAGAAGAGAACAAGUGAGUCAUGAUAUUAUACGAUUCAAAGUCGGGUUGAAUAGGGACAUAGCUUUUCGGAUGACCCUCCACAAGUUUAACACGAUCGAUGGCAUUUUUCAAGCGGCCUUUAAAAUUGAAAGGGAGCUCUCGACCUCUAAAACCAAGAAUCACCAAGGACCUUCCUCAGAGUGGCACCAACAUCAAGAGCAUUCAUCUAAUGCCAACCAAACCGAGAACAAGGUUGUACAAACCGAAACCAAGGGUUCCCAAAAGUAUCCUCCAAGAAACAAAGGUAAACCAAAUUCUACUUCUCGUCCUAAGGGAUUUCAAUAUUUUAAAUGUCAAGGGUGGGGGCACAAGGCUAGUGAGUGCCCAAACCGGAGGAAUGUAAUCCUUAGGAAGGAAAAAUUGUAUUACCUUGGUGAGGAGGUAGGACUUGAAUCGAAUGAGGGUAAUGAAAAAGGUCAAGAUAGAGAGCUUGAGGUCGAGGUGGAAAUUGAUGAAGGUAGGGAAGAUAUUUGGCCGGUGGAUGGAGAGUGUGUUGUGCCUAUGUAUAUGGCAGGGAUAAUCAUGCUUAGUGAGGUUGUAGAAGAAGAAGCCGAGAGUGAGGAGGGUGAAUAAGAGAAGCCGAGAGUUAGGAUUGUGGGGUUUGCCCACAAAGACCCUUUGUUUCCUACUAACCAAGAUGCUAGCACUUUACCUAACAUCCUUUCUUCUUACGUACAGGUUAAAGAACAUUUAAGUCCAAGUAGCAAUCUUGAUGACCUCGUGGAACCCUUGGUUGAACAUCCUAACCUUGGGAGGAACAUUGAAAAGAUGAUUUAAAGAGGAGAGCUUGCGGGUGAUGAUUGCUUGAAUUUGUGGAUAAAUUCCUCUCAAGAUGGAAAGAAUGGUACAAAUGCGAUCACGUAGAUGGACUUAUGAGGAUGUGUAUUGAAUUCGUCUAUGUCUGUGUGCAAGAGAAGUGGAAUUAAGGGCUUAAAAUAUAUCAAAACAGCCAAUAAUUCACACUAGAGGGGCACCUAAUCUCUAAGGGGCAUUUUGGACUUUUUGCCUUCUAUUUGUAAUACACUAAUAAGAAAUAUUUUAGGGUUACUUUACUUAAUUUUUUGAUAUUGAAGAUUGUAUAACUCACUUGAAAAACACAAGUUCUCUCUUCCGUAGAGACUUGGCUGAAACUAGGAAACAACUUAGGUGUGGAAUCACUUUUGUUGUUUGUUUGCUUGGAUCGUUGGGUGCUAGACUCUUGUGUCCACCGCAUAGUGUAGGUGUUUAUACUAUCUUUAUCCAGGGUCUUUGUGCUUGAAUACACUUAGGUUCUUGGUCUUUGUAGUAAUGUAUGUGACACUCUCUAUCAUUUUCUUUGUUGUAGUCUUAUACCCGUGUGGUGUAUUGUUUCUCUUGUAAACCGUGUGUUGUUAUUAUUACAUUAUUGUUGUCCAUCUUGUUCUUCAUAAAUUAUUGUUAAUAUUAUUUUGGGUCUCUGAUUUGGUGUCAAAUACACCAUGAAAUCUUGUAUUCUUAUUGUUGGUAGCGAAUCCGAGAGUGGUCAUCAAAAGGGUCCACGAUUCUUUCAACUUGUGGACUGAUUUUGGUGUUGUUUGUGUGUUCCUUGUCAAUCUUAUAUCAUUGUUGCUCAUGUUCAUACUCAAAAUGGCCUUGCUGAGUCAUUUAUUAAGCGCCUACAAUUGAUAGCAAGACCACUGCUUAUGGAAACAAAAUUGCCUACAACUGUUUAGGGUCAUGCUAUCUUACAUGCAACAUCACUUGUUCAUCUCAGGCCAACUCAUUAUAAUAAAUACUCCCUGUUUCAAUUGGUUCUGGGCCAUGAGCCAAAUAUUUUCCAUCUACGAAUUUUUGAAUGCGCUGUAUAUGUGGCCGUUGCACCACCUCAGCGUAUUAAGAUGGGCCCCCAGAGAAGGUUAGGAAUAUAUGUGGGGUUCGAAUCACCCUCUAUAAUUCGCUACCUUGAACUAUUGAUGGGAGAUUUAUUUACUGCUCGAUUUGUAGAUUGUAGAUUUGAUAAAAUAAAUUUUCGGCAAUUAGGGGAAGAAAACGUGACCUUAAAAGAGAAAUUGCGUGGAAAGUUUCAUCAUUAUCUCAUUUUGAUCCACGUACCCUCAUAUGUGAAAGUGAGAUCCGGAAGAUCAUUCACUUACAAAAAUUAGCAAAUCAAAUGCCAGAUGCAUUUACUGAUUUGUAAAGGAUAACCAAGUCACAUAUCCCUGCAACGAAUAUGCCUGUGCGAAUUGAAAUUUUAAAAGAACCAUCUUCUAAUGCAAUAACUUUUGAAUCCCAAACACGCCUGAUGCGUGGUAGGCCUUUGGGUUCAAAGGAUAAAAAUCCUAGAAAAAGAAGCGCAAAAAAUGAUAAAUAUAGUAAUGUGAAAGAUUCUCCUAAAGAGACUCAAAAUCUGAUUAAUCCUGAUAUUCCUGAAGAAAUCAGUGAACCCAAGACUCUAAGUGAAUGAAGAACUUUCAAUAAGUUCUACUAAUAAUGAGGUAAAUUUAGAUCGAAUGAAAAUUAUGGUGGAUAAUGUUUUUGCAUAUAAUAUUGCACUAAAUAUCAUGCAAGACAAUAAGGAUCUUUAACCUCUAUCUAUCGAAGAAUGUCGACGAAGAAAAGAUUGGCCAAAAUGGCAAGAGACGAUUUAAUUUGAAUUGAACUCACUUGCUAAACGGGAGGUUUUUGGACGUGUAGUCCAAACCCCAAAUGAUGUAAAACUAGCUGGCCAUAAAUGGGUCUUCAUACGUAAAAAAAAUGAGAAAAACGAAAUUGUGAAAUUGUAAGAUACAAAGCACGCCUUGUUACUCAAGGAUUUUCUCAAAGACCUGGUAUUGACUAUGAAAAAACAUAUUCACCUGUCAUGGAUGGAAUAAUGUUUAGAUACCUUAUCGGUCUAGCUGUACAUAAAAAUCUUGAAAUCCAUUUAAUGGAUGUGGUUACAGCUUAUCUUUAUGGUUCACUUGAUAACGAUGUUUACAUGAAAAUCUCAGAAGGAUUAAAAUUGCUUGAAGCAUAUAGUUCAAAGUCUCGGGAAUUAUAUUCAAUCAGAUUACAAAAAUCGUUGUACGGUCUAAAACAAUCAGAGCGUAUGUGGUAUAAUCGCCUAAGUGAGUACUUGAAAAACGAAGGAUACAUAGAUGAUGUUAUUUGUCCUUGUAUUUUUAUUAAGAAAGUGAUGUCGAGGUUUGUCAUACUCGCUAUUUACGUGGAUGAUAUAAAUCUCAUCGGGACUUCAGAAGAGGUUUAAAAGGCAAUCGAAUAUAUAAAGAAAGAAUUUAAAAUGAAAGAUCUUGGAAAGACAAAACUUUGUCUUGGUCUGCAAAUCGAACAUUUAGCAGACGAAGUAUUCAUCCACCAAACUGCCUAUACCCAGAAAGUUUUGAAACGUUUUUACAUGGACAAAACAUAUCCAUUAAGUACUCCAAUGGUUGUUCGAUCACUUGAUGUAAGUAAAGAUCCAUUCCGACCUCUAGAAAAGGGUGAAGAGAUUCUUGGUCCCGAAGUACCAUAUCUCAGUGCUAUUGGUGCACUUAUGUACCUCACUAAUGCUACAAGGCCGGAUAUAGCAUUUUCUGUUAAUUUGUUAGCGGGUAUAGUUCCUCCCCUAUGCGAAGACACUGGAACGGAGUUAAACAUAUAUUGAGGUACCUAUAAGGGACUAUUGAUAUGGGUCUGUUUUAUACUAACAAUGCUAGUCCAGAUCUUGUUGGUUAUGUAGAUGCAGGUUAUUUAUCUGACCCACAUAAAGCACGGUCCCAAAUAGGCUAUGUGUUUACAUAUGGAGGUACUGCAAUAUCAUUGCGAUCGACGAAGCAGUCCAUCGUUGCUACUUCUUCUAAUCAUGCUGAGAUAAUAGCAAUCCAUGAAGCAAGUAGAGAAUGUAUAUGACUGAGAUCAGUAGUACAUUCCAUCAAAGAGAGAUGUGGCUUGAAUCUUGAUAUCAAGGUACCUACAGUUAUAUUUGAAGAUAAUGCAGCAUGCAUAGCUCAACUAAAAGGAGGCUUUAUAAAGGGAGAUAGAACGAAGCACAUUUUGCCAAAGUUAUUCUUCACGCACGAUCUUUAGAAGAAUGGUGAUAUUGAUGUGCAGCAGAUCCGUUCCUGUGACAAUCCAGCAGAUUUGUUCACCAAAUCUUUACCAACUUCAAUCUUUGAGAAGAUGGCAGGAUUGGGAUGCGAAGACUAAAUCGAUUGAAUCGGGGUCUUCAUCAUGAGGAGUGAGAAUACGCGAAGGUUUUUAUCCUACUGAAUUUUUUCUGGUAAAGUUUUUAAUGAGGCAACACUCAAAUACGUAUUCAGUAAAUUUUUCACUACAUAGACAUCCAAAGGGGGAGUAUUAUGAAAUAUAUUUUUGGAUGUCAUUUGUAGUGGCACACUAACAUUUGUAGUGGCACACUAACAAUUAUUUUAUGAUUUCUAUUCUUGUCUUUGGCUCUAUAUAUAUAGCCAUAAUCAAUGAAAGAUAUAUAUAAAAAAAAUUCUGCAUUCUUCUUUCACGUAUUACUCCUUGCUCUUCUUUAUUUUAAUAUAUAAUUUCACACACACACACAUAUAUAUAUAUAUGGUAUGUUUUCAUAAAAGUAGGUUCUAGAAAAGAUAAAUAUACGUAUCAUGACUUUAAUAAUAGUAAGGCAGAAAGACUAUUUUAAAUAGACAUUCGAUUCAAGAUAAACCAAAGUUGAAAAAAACAUAGUAAAGGAAUGAGAAAUAAUAGGUAUAAUGGCCAAGUAAAUACGAUAACAACUUUGAAAUAAGACUAGUAUUGUCAAUAUGGGUUGUUGUGCAGUGGAUAACUGUUUCACCCUUAAUUAGAGAUCGAGGGUUCAAUCCUGAGUACGGAGAAAACUCUAUUAGGAGCGUUGCCACCCUAAUGAGCCCUGCAAUGCGCGCGAUCCAGAUUAGUUGGGCCUCCAAUGUGGACACCGAACACCGAAUAGGAAACCAAAAAAAGAAAAAAAAAAGAAAUAAGACUAGUAUUGUGACAUAAUUAAUUGUUUGUUUUCACUUUUAUCCUUAGUAAUAUAUAAAAAAAUAUUAAUAUAAUAUAAAAAAUAAAUAAAUAUGAGUAAUAAUAAAUAAAAAUAAUUUAAUUAAAUUAAUUUCUAGUUAAUGUUUUUCUUAAGAGAUGUGCAAUUUUAAAAGACGAUAACGUAAUUAAGAACGGAGGGUGUAAUUUAUAAUGAUUAAUUAAUCACAUAUGUAAUAAAAAAGAAAAAACUUAUCCAAAAACAGUCAAGAGUAUGCUGGAUAUUACCCGUUUGGUAGGGUGAAUUAUUUUCAUAAACCAUGAAUUAAAUGGUGGGAUUAUUCAAUAUAUUAUUUGGUAGCAAUUUUGAAGCUAUGUAUAACUAAUAUACGGAUUAGUUAUACAUCAUACAAUGUAUUAUAGGGUGUAUAACUAAUACACCCAAUUUGAUGGGAUUUGUAAUCCAUGAAUAAAUAUGUGUCAAAACAAAAACGCCUUCAAAUUUCUUUAAUUUUUUUCUAAAUCUUUUCAAUUUAUUCAAUGUGAGUUAUCUCUUUUCAAUUUAUCAAGAUUAUAAUAUCCCUCCAAAUAAUUUUAGUAAAAAAAAAACUACUCCAUUAACUUAAAAAAUUACUUAUUGGUCAAAAUUCGAAAAUAAAUUGCAUGAUUGCAUAUAAACUUUAAUUUUGUAAAUAGUAUAUUCAUAAAUAAAAAUAAUUUCUCUACUUAGCUUUAACAUUUUACGAAACACAAAUUUAUAUUAAUAAUAAUUCUAUUGUCUCAUUCAAAAGUUACACGUAUAUCCCUCCAACGUAAGAACAUCACAAAGUGAAAACAACAAAAAUAUGAUGAACAAAUAAAGAAAAGAUAACAAAAAAAAAAUUUGUAAGUAAAUGAUUGAAUCUUAAAAUUCCAAAGUAAAUAAUUAGUUAUAUUUUUACUUUUUUGUUUUUUUAAAAAAAAGAAUAAUAAAGUUUUGCAAAGAAAAUACAUAAAGUUGUAAUAUGUCCAAGUAUAUUUUUGUAAACAAACAAUAUUCUUUUUAAAAUAUAACAAUACAUCAAAUCAAACACCGCAUAAAAAUAAUCUCAGUAUUACUAAUUUCUGCUUAAUGGAGGUCUGAAUCUGAAUGGUUCAGACUUCAGACCAUUAAGUGCAUUUAUUUUUUAUUAAAAUUUUAGCUUUUAAUAGGUCUGAAUAAGUUUUAAUCGUUCAGAUGUAGAAUCUUAAUAGGUCUGAAUAGGUAUUCUGAUGUUGGAUAAUAUUUACCACCACUUUAUUCAUAAUCAUCAGUCACUACCUCUGUCACCGCCAUCAUUGUCAACCACCUCCACCAUUACAACCACCAUCGAUAACAAAUAUCGCAACCAACCACUAUUGUCAACCGCUACCAUACCUACUAUCUUUAUUAUUCUAAUUAUAUUUACCGUCACGACUACCGUCAACAGCACCAUCAUCACCAACCACUACCGGUCAAUCCCUACUAUCGACCAACUCAUCUAUCACAACUAGUACCACCGUUAACUACGACCACUAAUACAUUACAACUUCCGCACAUUCUUCGAUGGACACCACCAUUGUCAAUAGUAACGCCACCUUUACCAUCACUUCAAUCACUAUCAUCGCUACAAUUUAUCUCUAUUAAUAAUCAUCUCUACUAUCACAACUAACAACAUCUACAACUAGCACCAACACAUCGUCAAUCAUCAUGCAUUCAUUUUUCAGCCAUCACAAUCAAUACUUUCAACUACUAACAUUAAGCAACAUCACAUCACAACUACCACUACUACUAUCAACCACCACCAUCGUAACAUCACUAUAAUACCAACUAUCACCACUAAUAUUACUAAUCACUAACAUCAAUCAUUAUCACUAUAAUCACCAUUAUAAACCAUCUCCAGUAUCACUAACAAACAUAAAUAUUUUUUUCAGUCAAAUAAUAUAAUUUUAUUGUAUUAAAUUACAUACUUUCUAAUAUAUAAUUAAUUUUUUUAUUUAAAUUAUAUUUUUUAUUUUAUUAUAUAUAUAAAUAAUUUUUUUUACACAUUCAAAUAUUAAAAAACAAACAGUUUUAAUCAAUCCAUUUCAAAUUUACAGACAAUAUCUUAAUCAUUUAGAUUUACAUUCCGAUUCUGAACAUUUGAAUCUUUUAAAAAAAACAAAUGCAGCCUAAUCCAUGACUACUAAUCAACCAAUUAAAUAUUAUCUCAUACAGUAUACCAAACGAUCCCUAAAUGUUAACCUCGCACCCACGCCAGCCCAUUUUCUCUGUUGAAUGAGUUCUGUGUUCUGUUGAAUGUUGGUUAAGCUUGAAUGGGUUCUUUGUAGAUUUUGUGGAAGUUUUGAGAGUUGAAGCAUAAUCUUGAUUUAGUACCUUAAUGGGUUUUGGGACCGAGGGUAGAGUUGAUUGGUUGAGCUUAUUUAUGAUGGAACUGAACUUGAUUUGAUGCCUGGUGUUAAAAGUUACUUGCUUUUUUGUAAAUAGGGUGGUGGGGGUGCAAUUAGCUGCAGACCCUUUAAACUGACAGGGAGUUCUUGAUCUGUUUAUCUUGUGUUUAGAUUAAUUUUUGAGCUGAAAUGAGUUCUGUUUUCUGUUGAAUGUUUGUUGUGUUUGAAUGGGUUCUUUGUAGAUUUUGUGGAAGCGUUGUGGGUUGACGGAUAUUCUUGAUCUAAUAGCUGCAUGCAUAGUUAAUUGAUUGAAUUAGUUGAGCUUAUUCAUGUUGGAACUGAAUUUGAAUUUAUGGGAAUUGAGUGCUCAUAUGCAUUUUGUGGAUUUCGUGAGGUAAGCAGCUGUUAGCUGCAGACCCUUUUGAAAUGGCAGGGAGUUCUUGAUCUGAUUCUCUUGUUUUUGAUAAGUUUUGAGGUGAAAUGAGCUCUGUAUUCUGUGGAAUGUUUGUUGUGCUUGAAUAGAUUCUUUGUAAAUCUUUUGUGGAAUCUUAUUUAGUACCUUAAUGGGUUUACAAGCAGACAGAGGCGGAGCCAGGAUUUCAAGUAAGGGGGUUCAAUAUUCAAAGAAAACUUAGUCGAAGUGGAUUCAACUCCUGCUAUAAUCACAUAAAAAAUAAUUUUAAUCAUGUAUAAAUAGUAUAUUUUUCCGUCGAAGGGUUCGGACGAACCCCCUAAAGAGGGCUGGCUCCGCCUCUGCAAGCAGAAUGGAUGAAGAACUGAGCUUGGUUUGAUUCCCGGUGUUAAAAUUAUCUUUAUUUUUUAGCUGAAAUGGUUCUGUGUUGUGUUGAAUGUUGGUUAUGCUUGAAUGGGUUCUUUGUAAAUUUUAUGGAAGUUUUGAGGCUUGAAGGAUAAUCUUGAUUUAAUAGCCUAAUGGGUUUACUAGCAGAAUGGAUAAAGAACUGAACUUGAUUUGAUUCCUAGUUUUGAAAUUAACAUGAUUUUGUAAAUGGGGUGGGGGGGCAAUUAAAUGCUUAUGUGCAUUUAAUGGAUUUUCUCUUAAGUUGCUUGUUAACUUGCAGACUCUUUUGAAAUGGCAGGGAGUUCAUCUGUUUCUCUUUGUGUUUGAUAAAGUUUUGAUCUUUAAUGAGUUCUGUAUUUUGUUGAAUGUUGGUUAUGCUUGAUUGAGUUCUCUGUAGAUUUUGUGAAAGUGUUGAGAGUUGAAGCAUAAUCUUGAUUUAGUACCUUAAUUGGUUUAGUUUAUUGAUUGAGCUUAUUCAUGUUGGAAUUAACUUGCUUUUGUAAAUGGGUGGUGGGGUUGCAGUGAAAUGCUUAUAGGCAUUUUGUUGAUUUUCACUAAGCUGAUGCGGGAGGUUCUGCUGAGAUGGUUCGGGCAUGUGAUGAGGAGGGGCACGGAUGUCCCAGUUUGUAGGUGUGAGAGGCUAGCUUUGGAUGGUUUCAGGCGGGAUAGGGGUAGGCCGAAGAAGUAUUGGAGAGAGGUGAUUAGACGGGACAUGGAGCAGUUACAGCUUACCGAGGACAUGACCCUAGAUAGGAAGGUUUGGAGGGCGCGAAUUAGGAUAGAAGGCUAGUGCAUGUGGGAGGGACGUAGUUAGUAAUUAGGGGAGCGUUGGGGGUGGGGGGUGCCUUUGGUACGUUAGUGUAGGGUAUAACUUUGUGGGUGUUUUAUUUCUGUUGUUCCAUCUUGUUUCAUGCUUGUAUUCUUUGUCUUGAGCCGGGGGUUUAUCGGAAACAGCCUUUCUACUUCUCCGGAGGUAGUGGUAUGGACUGUGUACAUUUACCCUCCCCAGACCCCACUGUGUGGGAAAACACUGGGUUUGUUGUUGCUGUUGCUGUUAAUUAACUUGUUGACCCUUUUGAAAUGGAAGUCAGUUAUUGAUCUAUUUCUCUUUGUGUUUUGAUAAAGUUUUGCGCUUAAAUGAGUUGUGUAUUCUGUUGGAAUGUUCAUUAUGCUUGAAUGGUGUAAAUUUUAUGGAAGUUUUGAGAUGAUGCAUAAUCUUGAUUUAAUAACUUAAUUGGUUUAGUUGCUUGAUUGAGCUUAUUCAUGUUGAAAUGAACUUGAUUUUGUAAAUGGGGCGUUGGGGUUUUGCAAUCAAAUGCUUAUAUGUGUCUGAGGUACUUAGGUUCUCUCAGCUGCAGACCCUUUUGAAAUGGCAGUGAGUUCUUGAUAUAUUUCAUCUUAUGUUUCGAUAAAGUUUUGAGCUGAAAUGAUUUCUUUGUUCUUCGGAGUCUACCAAGUUUUUCCUCGAUAAAAUAAAGUAGCAACCUAAGCCUAAAGCCUGUGAGUUUAUUAGCCGAAACUGAAUCACAUGUGUGAAUUAAGACAUAAAUUGUGAAUAUUCAACAUGCUUAAUGGUAGAUCGCGGGGUCUUAGGUAAAUGAUUUGUUUGAUUAAGCAACUGAAUGUUGCUGUGCAUUAUAUUUCAGGGCUACGACAUUAGUUUUCUCAUUACAAAUUAUCAUUGCGAAGACAUGCAGAAGCAGAAGCUUAUUGAUUUCAUAGUGCAAUUCAUGGAGGUACAAUUAUUAACCCCCCAUCCCCACCCCUUUAGGACCAAGGACGACGUAGCAGUGAAACGUCUGCAUCCGUCGCUUAUGAACAACAACAACAACAACAAACCCAGUGUAUUCCCACCUAGUGAGGUCUGGGGGGUAAGAUGUACGCAGUCCAUACCUCUACCUCUGAUGAAGUAGAAAGGCUGUUUCCGAUAGACCCCCGGCUCAAGGCACGAGAUACCACACAAACACAUAGUGCAACACAGAAGCAGAUUACAUAACAUAAAUACGGCACCCAUAAGUAAUAUAAAGCAGAGGAAAGCAGGGGAAAGCACAN
rnacentral:lncRNA from 1 species